UUGCUAAGUCUUUGAUGCAUGCUGAGAGAACUUUACUUAACGACUUUAGACAAACUCAUCAAAUCCGAAACUGAUUCUAUCCCUUGAUCUACACAUGCAUUCAAAUCAUUCAUUCCUUUUAACAUUCAUUACUCAAGUAUAUGAAUCUGGUUGUGCAAGGCUUAACAAACUCACUUGGCUAGGCAGAAAAAGGUUUUGAGAAUCAUGAGGGUUUAAACAAUUUCAGGACAAGGAUCUCUCAAUGAAUGGAUUGAGCUUUAGGGAGAAUGCUAAAGGUAAGGACCAACAAAUGCAUACAUGAAUAAAACCUUGACUACCCAAUGGUUCCCAAGUGCUUACUCCUAAUCAUCUAAACCCGGAUGAUCCCUAUGUCUACCCUUUAACAUCAAUCCCGUUUUUUUUUUCUUUUUGCCUUCGGAGAAGUUUAUUAUCAAUACUAGUGGAUAGGGGAUUUCUUCUUAACUAUGGUUCUGUAUUCUUCUUACGUUAUAAGACAUCAAAACUUUUUCUCUUUCUUAACAUCCCAGAACCAUUCUCUGUAUAUCAUGCUAACCCCACAAAAAUCAAUCACUAGAGUAUAAACUUCUAGAAAACAUUCUCCUCCUAAGGACACAACUUUUUCUGUUUCUCUUCUUUCUUUCCACAAUCAUUCCAAUCCCAAACCCAAGUAAGAAUCAUGACCUAGUCCUAUCUGAUUUGAAAGCGAAAAUUAGAACUACUCAAGAUUUUAAUCCUGUCGGCUCAUACCUAACACGUUCUCCCCAAGCAUAAUCCGGUUAAAAGACCUACCAGUCAAAAAUUAUCAAUUGGCUUGAAAGAAAAGGAUAGGCUGUGGGUGUGGCAAACUGAUCAAAAGAAAGAUCAGCUACUUGGAUCAACAAGAGUGGUGAAAGGAGGAAGAUGAUCCAAAUAUGUAUAUGGUGACCAUGAGCAUGCAAGCAAAACACAAUCAGAUAUUUGCAAGUCAAGAUUAAGUUCUUAUAGGGUAAGGAAUGAGAUCAUAUCACAACAUGUUUCAACCAAGUUCGAGAAUGCUCUUCAUGAAUUCCAAGUUUGUUUCAGACUUACUUCAAGUUCAAUCAUCAUGCAUCAAAAAGCUAACAACCAGAGCAUUGAUCUCAACUAGUGAAUCAUAGCAAAUCAACAAGGUGUAACUCAUCAUCGCCCCCUAUGCUAAUGCAACAGUCCUACAUGAAACAAUCUAGACUCAAUCAUAAUAUGCAAAUGCAAGCUACAUAAUCACUCUGUUUUUAAAGAUUUUUUCUGAAAAUUUUUCAAUUUUUUAGGGGUUUUCAAUGCACAUAUAUGAAUGCAAAUUAUAUGCUAAAAAUUCAAAAUAAGAAAAAAGAACACAACAUCAAAUGUCAUCCCAAACCCUCCCCCAAACUUAAAUUACACAGUCUCUCGUGUAAUAAAAAUUUGAGAGUUGGUUUGAGAAUCAAACAAACAAAAGUAUGAAAAUGCAAUGGUAUAUACAGAUGAAGUUUUGGAGUGGUACCUUACUGAAAAUAGCAAUCCAGGUAUUGAGUCAUAGACUCGCUUGUAUAAGCACCUGGUGCAGGCGGGACAGGAGGUGCCUCUGCUGGUUGCUCAACGUUCUGCUCGACAGGAUCCGCAGUGAGGUCUUGGAAAUGAUACGCACCUGGAUCAAUAGUCAGGUCUUCAAUGUGAUCCUCAGCUUGAUCCAUGGUCAGAUCCUCAACAUGAUGCUCCUCUGACAAGUGUGAUGAACUGGCUUUUGCCUUCCGUCUCGCUGCCUUCUUCUUUUUCCGUUUCUCCUUCUUUUUGCUAGCCCUAAGCUCAGGGGAGGACUGUCUCAGAGGAGAAGAAGAAACAUUAUGCUCUCUAUACUCAUAAGCGGAAUGACGUGAUGGAGAAGGAGUUCUGUAGCGUGCGGGGACAUCACUCGUUGACAAACGACGCUGCACUACACAAAAAAUCCUAAACAAUAUUUACAGGAUACCUUUGGGACUUCCUCCCAAGUGAGCUUGUUUAAAGUCACUAAGCUUGACUGUUUAUGCCUUUUAGGCUUUGGGAGGCUCAUAGAGAGGCAUGGAGGACCCCUCUGGUGUUUCUUGAUCAGCUAGGUAACGCUUGACACGUUGACCGUUCACAGUGAACUCGCUGCCAUCCUUGUUCAGGAGAGUGAUCGCACCGAAUGGCAAAACAUCCUUGAUUUCAAAUGGUCCAGACCAUCUAGACUUGAGCUUUCCAGGAAACAGCAUAAGUCUGGAAUUGAACAGCAAGACGUGAUCUCCAGCCUUAAGCUCCUUAACAACAAUCAUCUUGUCAUGGAAAGCUUUGGUUCUCUCCUUGUAGAUUUUUGAACUUUCAAAAGCAUCAAGUCUGAUUUCCUCAAGUUCAUGGAUGUCAAGAACUCUCUUUGCCUGGGCUGCAUCAAUGUCCAAGUUCAGAAGCUUGAUAGCCCAAAGCGCCUUAUACUCAAUCUCCACAGGGAGAUGACAUGCUUUACCAUACACCAGCUGAAAAGGUGUCCUUCCUAUUGGUGUCUUGAAAGCUGUCCUGUAUGCCCAUAGAGUAUCAUCCAACUUGGUAGCCCAAUCUUUCUUCAAAACCCCAACAACUCUUGACAAGAUUCCUUUCAUCUGCUUGUUGGAGACCUCAACUUGUCCACAUGUCUGGGGAUGGUAGGCUGUAGACACCUUAUGCUUCACACCAUACUUCUUCAACAUGCUUUCAAAAACUUUGUUGAUGAAGUGUGUACCACCAUCACUGAUCACUGCUCUUGGUACUCCAUACCUGGGAAAAAUGAUGCUCUUGAACAGUUUCAGAACAACCUUGUGAUCAUUAGUGGGACUCGCAAUGGCUUCAACCCAUUUUGAAACAUAAUCAACUGCAACCAGAAUGUAGACGUUGCCAUUUGAGGGAGGGUUGAACGGUCCCAUGAAAUCAAUUCCCCAAACAUCAAAAAUUUCUACUUCCAAAAUCGGAUUCUGAGGCAUCUCAUUCCUUCUGUUGAUGUUACCCAUCCUCUGGCAAGCGUCACACUUGGUGAUGAAACUGUUUGUAUCCUUGAACAACGUUGGCCACCAAAGGCCUGCUUGUAGAACUUUCUGAACUGUCUUGAAAGUAGCGAAGUGUCCUCCAUAUGUGGAUCCAUGAGAGUGCUCAAGCACUCCCUGCACUUCUCCUUCUGCUAUGCAUAUCCUAAACAGCCCAUCUGAACCUCUCUUGUACAAGUAAGGUUCAUCCCAGAAGUAGUGGUUGACAUCUCUGAAAAACUUCUUUUUCCUAUAAGGAUCCAUGUCUGCAGGAAUCUCUCCACAGACCUUGUAGUUAACCACAUCCGUAUACCAGGGCAUACUCUCUGAAUUGACUGCUAGACAUUGAAGCUCCUUCAUAGCCAUUCCUGUUUGAUGCAUCUUCUUGCAUAUCUCAACAACCAUAAGAUGUUCUUCAGGCAUAGAGUCAUCAAUAGGGAUUGGAUCUUCUAUUCUCAUUCUGGACAGGUGAUCAGCAACGCCGUUCUCUAUCCCCUUCUUGUCAACAAUCUCCAUAUCAAACUCCUGGAGUAGAAGUAUCCAUCUCAGCAGUCUCGGUUUGGUAUCCUUCUUGGAGUAUAUAUGCCUAAGCGCAGCAUGGUCUGUAUAGACUACCACUUUUGAUCCCACCAGGUAACUUCUGAAUUUCUCAAACGCAAAGACUACAGCCAAAAGCUCUUUCUCUGUUGUUGCAUACCUCCCUUGUGUCUCAUCAAGGGUUCUGCUCGCAUAGUAGAUGACAUGCAGUUUCUUCUCUAUUCGCUGCCCCAACAUAGCCCCUACUGCAUUAUCUGAGACAUCGCACAUUAUCUCAAAAGGAUGAUCCCAGUCUGGAGCUUGGACUAUUGGUGCUGAGACUAACGCUUCCUUGAUCUUGUUGAAAGCUUCCAGACAGCUCUCAUCAACGACAAACUCGACCUCCUUGCACAGCAGUCUUGAAAGGGGUCUUGCAAUUUUUGAGAAGUCCUUGAUGAAUCUUCUGUAAAACCCAGCAUGCCCAAGGAAACUCCUUAUAUCCUUGACUGACUUGGGAGGCUGCAACUGCACCAUGACCUCAAUCUUUGCCUUAUCAACCUCAAUCCCUUUCUCUGAUACCUUGUGUCCCAACACUAUCCCUUCGUUCACCAUGAAGUGGCACUUCUCCCAGUUGAGCACUAGGCUUGUCUCCUCACAUCUUGCUAAUACCCUGCAGAGAUUCAACAAACAUGAGGAGAAGGAGGAGCCAUACACGGAAAAAUCAUCCAUGAAUACCUCCACCAUCUCCUCUAUCAAAUCCGAGAAUAUAGAGGUCAUACACCUCUGAAAUGUUGCAGGUGCAUUACACAAACCAAAAGGCAUGCGUCUAUAGGCAAAUGUGCCAUAGGGACAAGUGAAAGUAGUCUUUUCCUGAUCAUUUGGGUGGAUAGGAAUUUGGAAAAAUCCGCUAUAUCCAUCAAGGAAACAGUAGUAGGGAUGAUUGGCUAAUCGUUCUAACAUUUGAUCAAUGAAAGGAAGAGGAAAAUGAUCUUUCCUAGAUGCAGCAUUCAGUUUUCUGUAAUCAAUGCACAUCCUAUGGCCAGUGAUAGUCCUAGUGGGGAUCAAUUCAUCUUUUUCAUUUUUUAUCACUGUAAUUCCCCCUUUCUUGGGUACGCAAUGUACUAGGGAUACCCAAGUACUAUCAGAGAUAGGAUAGAUAACUUCCUUAAGGUUAGGAUUCAGUCUCCUUUGAGGUUCAAUACUAGAGUAUGAUUCGUUUUCCAGAUUAAUCCUAUGCAUGCAGAGACUAGGUGAGAUCCCCUUGAUAUCAUCUAAGGAAUAACCUAUGGCCCUUCUAUAUUUUCUAAGCUCAGUGACUAGCAACUCUAAUUCCUCAUUACUCAAGCUAGCAUACACAAUGACAGGAUAAGUAGAGUUGGAUCCAAGGAAUACAUACCUCAGUCCUAAGGGUAGCGGUUUGAGCUCAAACUUGGGAGCUUUUAACUCUGACCAGUCAUCAUCAGCCGCAUUGACAGGGUCAACAGCAGGGUGAGUGAUCGGGCUGCCUCUGACUUCAUCCUCUACUGUGCAUACCUCCUUGACAGACUUAUCCAAUUCCUCAAAACGUUCUGAAUCAUCAGUUGCCUUGUAGGUAUCCAGUAACGUUUCGUAGACCUUUGUCUCAGCUUGAAGAAAUCCAUCUGAUCCAUUCUUUGUCAAUGCUGUCUUGAGAUGAUCCUCCUCAGCAAGUUCUUCUAAAAGCUCAUCAGAUAGCUGAUCCAUCUCCUCUAUCCAGAAUACCUUGCCAUUGAUUGUUGAUUUCUUCAUAGACUCCUUGAUGUCAAAUGUCAUCUUGAAAUCUUCUCCCAAGCAUAAGUCUAUCUUCCCAUUCUUAACAUCAAUGAUAGCUCCAGCCGUGGCUAGGAAUGGUCUUCCAAGAAUCAGGGGAUCUUUAGGCUCUUCAUCCAUUUCCAAGACAACAAAAUUUGUGGGAACUUCAACAACACCAAUUCUUAUUGGCAGGUCUUCCAAGAGUCCAUGUGGGAGUCUCACUGAUCUGUCAGCUAGAAUGAGAGAUAUGUUGCAUGCCUUGUAUCUUGUGAAUCUUAAACGCUUAGCCACAGACAAUGGCAUAAGACUCACAGAAGCUCCAAGAUCACAUAGGCAUCUGCUGAAAGAUAGGGGGCCUAGUGAGCAGGGUAGAGUGAAGGAUCCAGGAUCCUUAAGUUUCAAGGGAGUGAUCUUCUUCUGGAUAAUGGCACUACAUUCAUGACUUAAUAUCACCAUGCCCUGUACUUCUUUUGUUCUCUCCAUAACCAAAUCUUUGAGGAACUUCUGAUAAGGAGGGACAAGUGCGAAUGCAUCCAGCAAUGGCAUUCUCAACUCAAUCUCUCUCACUUGCUUUUCAAAUAAAGCCUUAUACUUCUCAGCUUGCUGCUUUUUGAAUCGUCCUGGAAAUGGUAGAGGUGGUUUGUAUGGUGGGGGAACGUAUCUCGCAGGUUUAUCCUUGGAUGCUGCAGAUGUUUCAGCAUGUUUCUCAGCAGGCUGAGGAGCUUCUUCAGGUACGACUUCUGAUUCUUCCAAAGGAACAACCGGAUCUUCAUUCUGACAUACAUCCUCCCCUUCUAAGUCUUCACUGUCCUCAGUGACUACAACAGGUCCUUGUCUAGGAGGCAAGUUUUUACCGCUCCUCAGCGUGAUGGCAUGAGCAAACUCCUUAGGAUUCUGAACAGCUUUUCCUGGAAGUUGGCCAGGCUUUGGGGCAGAAGUUGAAGCAGUUUUGCCCUCCAUAUACUUGAUCUUGGAAUUCAGAGUCUCAAUCUUCAUGUUCAGAUCAUUGUAUGAGCAGUCCAAUCUCUGAGUCAGCUCAGCAAACUUCUUAGCAUUGUCCAUGGAGCCACUUGCUUGUCCCUGUAGGAGUUGCUGAAGCAUGUUUUUCAUGUCAUGGUCUGGUGCUGUUGGAGGUGGAGCCUGUUGAGGAUGGAAUCCUAGUGGUGGUCCUGCUGGAGGUUGGUAACCUUACUGAAAUAGUUGUUUGGGCACAUAACCUUGGUUGUAGGGCACAAAUGGUUUGUUCUACCCCUGCUGCUGCUGUUGUGGAGGUGGAUAAACCUGAUCCUGGGGAUUUGCAACAUUGGUGCUCCUAUAAGACAGAUUGGGAUUCUGCUUAUAAGGAUUGUAUCCCUUAUUGUAUCAACCUUGGUUCUGGACAUAACUUAUCUCCUUAGGUUGUUCUCCCUCCCCAUUCAGAAUCUGGAAAGGGUCGUCUUCAGAGACGAAAUAGAUGUUCCUCUGCUGGCUCAUCAAUAGCUUGUCCAACUUAUCAUUCACAGCCUUCAUCUUCUUCUUGUACUUCUCAUCAAAAUCUGUGCUUGCCCUGAUGGUUCUAUCAUAAUCUUCAUUGUAGUUGCCAUCAGAUUGGGAUAGGUUUUCAACAAGCUCCCAACCUUCGUCGACGUCCUUGUUCAGAAAGUUGCCAUUGCUGGCAUUGUCAAACAACAUCCGGAUCUUUGGGAGAACACCCCUGUAAAGAGUACUGAGGAGAGACUCCUUGGUGAAACCAUGGUGGGGGCACUGAGACUGAUAACUUUUGAAGCGUUCCCAGGGUUCACAAAGCGUUUCUCCAUUCUUCUGAGUGAACCCAGAGAUCUCAUUGCGCAGACGUGCAGUUCUAGAGUUGGAGAAAAACUUGGCAAGAAACGACUGCUUGCAUUGAUCCCAAGAAGUGAUAGAUCCUGGAGGAAGAGUUUUCUCCCAUUGAUGAGCUUUGUCACCCAAAGAGAAUGGAAAGAGACGUAGCUUAAAACCGUCCUCACUGACCCCAUUGAUCUUGGUGAGACUGCAGAGACGAUCAAACUCAUCAAGGUGAUCCAGGGGGUCUUCCAUAGGCAGACCAUGAAAUUUAUUCUGCUGGACCAUGGAGAUCAGACCACUCUUGAUCUCAAAGUUGUUGUUCACCACGGCUGGAGGUACUAUACCCUGACGAUGGGUAUGGUUGCGUGGAGCAUCACCAGCUCCAAUCUGUGUAGGUGCCCGUGGUGAGGGUGGUGGUUGAAUGUUUUCCAUCUCCACUUGGGGUGGUGUAACUCUGUUGCGUUGCUGUCGUGAUGCAGGUACCAAGCGAUCAAUACGGUCGGAGGGCUGGAACAAUUUCUCUGUGCCUUGCGACCGUGUGUGCAUACAACUCAAAUCAGCUUAUCUCUCUUAUCGGUUGAGUGUGUCAGUCGAGUAGGAGCAGUUGAGCAAGAGUUGUACCUGAAUCAAUAGACAAACAGAAGGAACAGAGUGAGUAACUAUAGUGAAUGUUGAGUAAAAAACUUGAUCUUAGCAAGUCUGAAAUCUCAAAUGUAACAAACAAACACCCAAAUGGCAGCGGCGCCAAAUUGAUACUAGGUUUUUUCUAUCAAUUACCCUAGAGUACUAUCAUGUCAUUGCAGUACAAUAGGUAUCAAUCCAAUCAAGUGUGAUGCUAGCAAUCAAGAUAUAUCAGAAAUGAUUAAGUCAAGCAAGUAUAAAUGAUCUUUUGGUUUUCAGUGAUCCUAAGCAAACAUGUUAAACAUGCGAUAAAUGUAAGGCUGUAAAACAUAGACUACCAUGCAUAAACUAAAACGUAACGAUUAUUGAUACUGGCAAGAAAACAAAGCAGACCAAGUAAAUAACAAGAGAAUUAAACAGAAAGCACAAAUGGAUAGAAGAUCCCAAGGAUGAGGUUAUUGAUGUAGGUGGAGUAUGCUAAUCUAAUUCGAGUGUCUAUCAAACUACAAACAUUCUAAUCCCUAGACAAUGAACUUCUGAUACUAGUCAAUCCAAUCUCUUGGCAGAAACUAUCAAGUUUACAACACUUCCUAAUCUCAAUUCUCAUUGAUGAAACAUGUAGUAAACAAGCAUAAAGAAACAGCUCAUUAAUGUCAAUAAACAUCUUAGACAACCAAUCUCUUGGGCUAAGCAUGUAAAUCUCUGGCACUAGUUGGUUCAGACAUUUCAUCAUAUACCUUUCGUGUAUGAAAUGUCUAUGACCCAGUUCCAAUUGAUCAGAGAAGAACUAGCUAAUAAAACUUUAGUCCAUAAGGGAAACAAAACGAAUCUAACAUAAACACUCUAGCAAACUAACAUCCUCCACCUAAUCUAUCCCAUUCUCAAGAACCCUAACACUACUCAGACGCAGAAAUCAUGUUAAACAUCAUGAAACAAGAAUCGUUCAAAACAUGCAUAAUAAUAAGGAUGAUAGGAAGAGUAACAACAAUGAUUUCAGAACUAGUUGCAAAAUCUCAAUAACUCAAAAGAAAUAUGAAUUACAAUUUUCUGGAUUGUUUGGUGGCUAACAACAAAAACCUAAUAAAAAUAAAACUCGAUCCCUUGGACAAUCCAAAUGAGACCUAUAUAUAACAAUGUUUUGGAAAACCUUAAAACAUAAAACGACAACGUAAAAGCGGUUUAAAAGUUGUAAUGGUCAUGUCGGUCGAGUGAGCGUGUCGAGUAACACUUAAUUUCUUCUCUGCAUCAUUUCAUACUCGACCGUGUUCCUCGAGUGAUUGUGUCGAGUGACCUGUGAAACCAUCAGCUACUUCUUUGCUUUGCUCGAUCAUGUCACUCGAGUGAGUGCAUCGAGUGACAGGUGGUUCUGCUUCGCUUCCCUUCUGCUCGAUCAGCUACUCGAUCGUGUACGUCUGCUGCUCACUCGAUCGUCCUACUCGGUCGUGUCAAUCGAGUGAAGUAUGUUCCUGCAACGCAUCCUUGCUUCUCACUCGAUCGUCCCACUCGAUCGUGUGCAUGUCGAGUAACGCUUGUUCCUCUGCUUCGCUCUGCAUGUCUCCUAAGUACCUGAAACACUCCAAAUAUGCACAAUGUAUGCAAGAUAUGCAUGAUAUGCAUAAAACCUACCUAAGUAUGUAAAACAUGCAGAAAGGGAUCAAUAUGAUGCGAAUCAACAAGUGAAUGAUGCUGAAAAGAUGAUGAAUGCAUGCUGAAAAAGCGAUGAAAUACAGACUUAUCAACAGCUUCUAUCUCGCCCGACUUGUAUUUGUCGAGGAGAUAAUUAGAUAGAUGCUUACAUUCUUCAAUCGAAUGUCCGGCAAACCUUUGGAAGGUGCAGUACGAUUCCUUGGGCGACGUCUUUUGGUUAUUGCUCUCCUCUGAGAUAGCGUUAAUCGUACCGCGCGAUGCGUCCUUUCCAUCAUAGAGCUUACGUGGCUCUCUGCAGUCCUCACGCUUUCAGUCCCGGGGUAUGGGGCGAGUUGCGCUAGCUUUCGCCGCUAGCUUGGCGUCUUCUUCUUCAAAAAGCGCAUAUCUAGAUGCGCAAUGUAACGCGUUGUCAAGGUCUUUUGGUUCACGAAUGGCCAAGUCCUUUCGUAGGGAAGAUCCUGGAAGGAGCCCUUUUCGGAAUGCGGCUAAUGCGGCAUCUUCUUGAACUGAUACUUUCGCCAGCAAAUUCUUGAACCGCACUAGAUACUGCUGCAGAGUUUUAUCGGCUCCAGAGUUUCAUCGGCUCGAGAGAUCGAUACUGGAGGUCCAGGUUGUAUGAAAUGCCGGUAAUGUCGAAGAAAUGAGGUCGACAACUUGGCGAAGUCAUUGAUCGAAUUCGGACUAAGCCGAGAGAAACAGGUGAGGGCGUUGCCCGUCAACCUCUCAACAAAAAGCUGUCAGUGUCCCGUAUCCCUCUCCUCUUCGGAGAAAUGUGUCUUUGUGACCGCAGCCAUGAACGUCGUCAUGAAAGUGCGAGGAUCCUUGUCCCCAUCGUAAGUCGACAACCUGAACUUGAUAUGCGGAAUUCGAGCCUGAGUGAUACGGCUCGUAAAAGGGGUCCGCUGAGUUUCUUCAAACAUGCGGUCGAUUUCCGGGGCCGAGUUGGAGACCCGGUGGACCUGGGAGUUUAUGUCUGCUAUCUUCUCGUACAGAUCUUCUAGGUCAUGAUCACGUCUGGAGCUCGGUGCGUCUGCGGGUUGGCUGGACGCCGUUACGAAUGCUCGGGGUCGAGUUUCAGCGUGCGAGGGCCUUGCACAUGAUCGUCCAAUCGGGGGUGGAGGGCGUACCAUAAAUCCUCCGACCUGAUUAGUAGGAGGGACGUCAAAGCUCACCUCCUGGAUAUUAGAUUCCAGCGUGCGAGUACGCCCGAUCGUAUCCAUCCGACGGAUGGCAGCAGCGAUCUGGUCGUAGAUGUCUUUGGUCACAUUACCAAAUACUAUGCGCAGGUCGUCCAUAGAUGCGGUUUGUGGGACAGACGGCGGUAUUGGAACGGUCUGGGAGAUUUGGGUUUCGUCUGCAAGUUGGCCCUCGGCUUCUCGAGUGGCCACAGUACUAAUCUCCACCCCGCUGGUUUGGGGGCAGUCAACGGCUCCGGUUGGUGCCGGGAGAUCCGUUUGGCGGACCUCUUCAUCGAGUCGUCCGUUAACGGAGUCGAGCUGUGGGGACAUCUCGAAGUGGAUUGCUUCGGUAAUCGAGUUGAGAGAAGUGUUACUUUGAAAGGCGUUUUUUAAAAAGGAAAAAAAUUCUCCCCUCCUUCUAGCGCCAAUUGUUGAACCAAGGAUUCACACAAUGAAUUUAUUAAGGAAAGGAGAAUAAAUUCACUUUGAACAAUCUCUCGGGAACUCGAUUAAAGAAGAUAUUAGAAGAAUUACUUUGACCUAGAAAUAAACGAUUUAGGGUUUGCUCAAGAACAAAUGAAGAACUAGGGUUUUUGGUAUUCAAUGAUCGAUGCCCUAGAAAUGCAGGCAUCUUGUUUAUUUAUACAAAGGAUCUAGGGCUCAAUAAAUGCUCUCAUUCCUUAGAUUUACAAAGAAUAUUGUCAUAGAUAUUUAAUUAGGGUUCUCGAAACCCUAAUUGUAUGAAGUCGUUCAUCCCAUUUUAGGAAUGCACAUAAAUCCGCUUUAAAUACGAAACAGAGAUUCCCCGAUUUACUGGUCUAAUUCGAUUUCGUCUUGGUUUAGGCCGGUAUGUCGUUGGUGCUAAUUCCUACACCAUCAAAUGGCAUACAAUUGAAAAAGAAGAUUAAGAACUAACCAGUAAGGUAAUCCCAAACAAGAUGCGAUGGGAAGAGUUACUUGACUUGCCAAAUCCAUCCCAUUAGAUAAAAACCUGCAAAUAAACAGAAUACUAGGAGGAUCAACUAAUGUUUCAAAGUUGGAAUCCGCAAUUCAUAAAUAGAAACAGGUUUGCGAGUGCCAAAUAACAGGACUGGAACAUCUUUCUUAGUCCGUCGUGAAUUGAAACCAUAGAAAGAAGAAAUAAAAAGAGGAACCAGAGAUAGUCAAACUAGGAAGGAAAGGAGGGACAAUGCAUUGUAUGUCAUGUGGUGACGCUGGACACAAGGCAGCUAGAUGUCUGAAAUUUUCUGAGGAGAAGAAGAGUAAGAAGCAGGACACAAUGCAACCAGCGGAGGCAUGUUUUGAAUAUUUUUAUCUUUUAAUUUGUUUAGCUUGCUCUGUUUCUUUUUUUUCUCCUUUUGUGUCUGUUUUUUCUUUGCAAUGUUUGUGUUUGGAGUGUUGUUGUAUCUGUUUUCUUGGCAGGUUUGAAGUGUUUGCAAGUUGUUUGUGUUUGUGACUGUUUUUAUUGUCUGCAUGUUUUGUACUGUGCCUGAUUUUUGUUCUACGGGUUUUUGUUUAUUUUUUUAGUGUCUCCAAAUUUUGUUGCGUCUUUUUUUUUUGUGAUUGCAGGUUUUUGUGUUGGCAUUACGAAAAUACAUAGAAUGAGUCACAAUUACAUAGACGUGUAGAAAGUCAGUCAAAAUACUUACUAAAUCAUGAACAAAGCAAGACUCUAUAGUCUCUAUAUCUUUCCCCAUAGCCAAACAAGUGCAAUUGCCAAUACAACCGUAAAACAUAUGGUCUUCAAAGAUGACUUAUCAAUCUUCUCAUUCAUCUCCUAAGUCUUGGGUGUAAAUAUGUAAACAUCCUCUCCACACCAGCAUGAGGUCGGAACACCAUGAGAGACUUCUAGGUGAGAAAGGAUUGAAGCCGCAGUACAGCUCAUGAUUUUCAGGAAAUUUGAUACUCGAGCCUAUGAAAAACAAAGCCUAAACCGCCAAAUCAUUUUUGUUUUAAAAGAAUGCAAAUGAGAAAAUGACGUCGUUUUAGUGUUGUGUCCUGGGAUUAGUAAAAUCGUGAUACAAUAUAUCUAUUAUAACAUUUUUGAAGUACAAUUUUUGGCCACUUUUGUGUAAAACCUUAAUGACAUCGAUUACCCUCAAAUACACAUGAUUAGUGUUUUUUCAUUAAGGUUACUCGUGUAAUAUUAAUUGUCGGGUCGGUUUUUUAUUUUAAUUUAAGACCCGAUUGCAAAUGAUGGAUCUUAGUUAUUGAAAAAAUCGAAGUUGUUUUUAUUAUAAUAAACAUAAUAAAUACGAAUAAAUCCUACAAAUAAGGGAAACAAUUAGCAAAACAAUAACCUACUAACCAAAGUUUAAAUCCUACAUAUAAGGGAAACAAUUAUAUCCUUUCCAUAUACAUCUGUUUUUGGUAGGAUUGUUUUAGAUAAUGAGAUUAAAUAUGCUGAGUUAAUGCUAACAUAUCACCGUAAAAUUCUAAAAGAUAUAUAUUUCUCUAAUAUCUAAUCACAAAAUUGCUAUAAUACAGCAAUACAAACAAAUUAGUACACAUACACGAUAAUUUAAUGGGAUAUUUCUUACCUAAAUACUAAAUACCCGAUUCGAUAUCACACCUAUUUUUUUCAUCACAAAGGAACUCUAUAAAUAACUUCUGAAUACAAGAUCUAAAAUGCUCCUAAUCGAAGUGGCUUCUACAAUGGUAAUAUAUGUAGAUUAUUGUUUCUGCUAUACAAUUAACUAAAUUUUUUUCUCUUAACUGUAGAUAUGCUCAGCCAAAUCUCAAUACGACAUGCGUGUUAUGGUCUCGGCCUUGACUCAAAUAAUCGAAAACCAACAAAGCAAUUCUCAUGAUAAUAUGGGCUCUACUGAUAGCCAUCAUUGUGUCUAUAACCCACAAGAUCCUAUUCAACAAGUUGCUCCUACUCAUCAAGACGAAGGUAUACAUAUACAUGCUCAUGUCGUCUAUGUUAUACUUUUGUUGAAACAAUGUUCAAGUAUUUGGAAUUUUUUUUUGGCAAAUUUCAUAUCAGGAGUAAAACCCCAAAAUUAAUAGAUAGUUGUAACUUAAACUAUGCUUUUCAAUACUCAUUCACCAACAACGGUUCUGUAACUACCAAAAUGUAUGUUUUAAGUUUUAACAUGGAGAUUUGUUUAUAGUGUAUGGCUUAAAUUAGUAAAUUAGCACUAAUAUUUUAACGAGAUAUUUGAAGUUCGGAUGAUAUAAUAAACAAGAUAUUUUUAUUCUACCAAAAAAAACGGUGAUUUAAAAGUGUACCUAGAUAAAUAAAAAAUUAAGAAUAUAGGAUCACUUUUUAUUUGAAAAUGUAUUAAAAUUAUUAAAAUUUGAUACAAGAUGACAACUUUUACUGCUUGGUAGUUACUAAACAAAUGUAUUUCGUUUAUUAUAAAUUUGAAUAUCGUACUCAAUUAUUUUAUAAUACAAAAUCACAAAAUUUAUAUAGAAAAAAGUAAAAAAAAAAAACAAUUUGUCUCUUGGUGUACCACGGGAUAAAUCCUAUUAAUGAGUAACUUUGACUUAAUAUUUACAAAACAACAUUAUAUUAUGGCAUUUGGAGAUUUUUCAAGCAUAUAUACCAAAUCUUAUUAAGUAAUAUAAAUGAUGAAUCAAAAUAUAAUAUUUAUUUGAGCAAAUAUGAGUUUAAUCUAUUGUACAUUUUUUAAAAAAAAUACGCAUACUUAUAGUUUUUUUUUUCAAAUUCCACGACAUAUAUUCAAUAACAAAUACUAUUAAUUAUUAAAAUUACACCAAAAUAUAUACUAUAACAAAGUAACACCUAUAUUAAAAUCAAGAAAUUUACCAUGUGGUGGUAUAUUUGGUAAAUACAACAACGUAUAUAUAACAUCGUAACAUUCAUAUUAACUAAAAGGAAUCAUAUCACUAAACUAAUUAGCUCAUUUCAAUAAUUAAUUAUAAAAAAUGAAUCCGCGGUAUACCACGGGGUAAAUUCUAACUUCGUAUGUAUAUAUAAACUAUAACGAUUGAGGUUUUAUAUAAAAUAUACGCAUAAAUUACUAGACUCGUGGUGUACCACGAGGUAAAAUCUAGUGCUAUAUUAUGAUUAAAAACAGUUUAAGCAUCAUAAAAAUUUAAUUAAAAAAUGAUGAGAAGAUCAUCGAUAUCAGUUAAACUAUACCCUCCUUAAUUCAAAUCUUAAUGAUAUCAAUGAAAGUAUAAAACCAUUUCAUUUGUUUUUUAAAAUAUUAUUUCAUAAAAAUAAACAUACAUUUAUAAAGAAAAUAAUGGUUUUAAUAGAUUAGGAAGAUGAUGAAUGUGGAAGUGAUGAAGUUCGCGACACUGAGGACAGUGAAGAAGAAGAUCUUAAGUACGAGGAAUUAGAAUCUCAAAUUGAAUCAUCUGCUAGUGAUGGGAACAAGCAAGAAGAUCUUGCUUACGACGAUUCUGGAGAAGAAACCAAUGACAAUGAGGAUUCUAAAAAAGGUGAUUUAAUUGAAGACGACGUCGAAGAAGAAGUCGAGAAUGAUGAUCAAAAUUGCAAGGAAGAGGCCAAUGAAGAAAAAGAAUAUUCCAUACACCAUAAAAUUUCUUUUGAACUUCGGGACACUAGGUAUUGGUUUCUAAAUAUGAAAGUAUUCAUUCUAAUUUUAUUUUAUUUUAAAAUAUAUGAUAAUUAUAUAAAACUAAUUGAUUUUGGAAAAUUAGUGGUGUCAUUUCACAAUGUGAAUUAACUGAAUCACCGGCCGCGAACUUUUACGACUUACAGAACUUUGCAAGGCUGUACUCUAAUCUGUGUUAUUCGAUUGGGAGUUGUGGAUGUUUUCCAAGGUACAAUACACACUCUUCAAUUUAGAAUCCUAUAAAAACUGUAAAACUUAAGAUAUAUAUAAAUGUUAAAAUUUUAAAAUAAUAAAGAUGGAAAUGACUAAUGUCUGUUUCUAAAAGAAAAAUAACAUAACUUAUAUGGUAAAUAUAUAUUACUAAUUUAUAUACAUUAUUUGACAUAUACCAUCGAUCGUUAUCCAACAUCUCACCAUAUAAUAUGGUCUUGGCAUAUUAGUUAAUAUGUUUAUACUAUAAGUAUUUUAGAAACAUUCUAAGGUGCUCAUAUCUACAUCACUACAUGAGAUGUUAAUAACAUUAUAAGAUGUUGUUAAGUCGAAAAUAUCCGAAUUGAUAAUUUGGAUAAGGUGUAGCAUCUCAAAAAUUCUUAGAUUCAUCUUUUUUAGCCACCUCUCUUUAUUAGCCAAUAAAAAUAUAAUAAUAUGCCACUAAUUAUAGGUGUCCAAUGAGCUGGUCCAUCAUGGUCCUGAAAAACUAAAGCCCGUGCGGGCAGCCCAACUAGACGCGGGAAAAAAUGUUAUGUCCAAGCAUGCUCCAUAAGUCCAACGGGCUAGCGGGCUUGCAGCUGUUUGACACCUCUAAUGGUAAUACUAUAUUUUAAAAGUACAUUAAAAUUAAAAUAAGAAAACAAAACAACUAAGGAGACAAAAUAUGUAUAGUUAUUAAUUAAACAAAAUAACAGUUUGGGUUUAUAAAUAAGCAUUUGAGUUUAGAUUUUACAAUUAAACGAGGUUAUAUGUUGGUUUGAAUUUAUGAGUCAGAAGAUUAGAAUUUCGAAUUACAAUUAAAAUUAUAUGUCGGUGUCGGUUUAGAAAUGAAGAUUAGAGUUUAGAUUUUACAAUUAAACGAAAUUUUAUGUCGUUUUGAGUUUAUAAAAGAGUGAUUAGGGUAUAGAUUUUACAAUUUGACAAAAUUAUAUGUCAGUUUGGGUUUAUAAAAUAGUAGUUAGGGUUUUAUAUUUUAUAAAUAAACGAAAUUAUAUGGUUUGGGUUCUAUAAAAGAGUGGUUAGGAUUUAUAUUUUAUAAUCAAACGAAUUUAUGUGCGGUUUGAGUUUAUAAACGAGGACUAGAGUUUAUAUUUUAUAAUUAAGUAAAAUUAUAUGUCGGUUUGGGUUUAUUUAUUUUUUGGUAGGUGUCGGUUUGGGUUUAUGAAAGAAUGGUUAAGAUGUAGAUUUUACAAUUAAACAAAAUUAUAUGUGAAUUUGAGUUUAUAACUAAACAAGAUUAUAUGAUUUUAUUAGGGUUUAUAUUUUGCAAAAUAUUUUUGGUAUAAUUUGAUAAGUCAAACGAGCUGGCCCAUCACAUUGUAUGAAAAAAUAAUGUCUGUUAGGACAUGCUCAGCUGGAGGUGGGAAACAACGUUGUGUUCAAGCGCGCUUCCUAAGUCUAAUGGGCGGGCCAGCUAGUGGGCCUUAUUUAAUAUUUAGAAAAUAAAAUAAAAAAUUACUUUUAUUUAGAGAAAUAAAUUAUCAAUUUUAAAGUUUAAAUUAGUUUUAUAAUCACUCUUUUGUAGAUAUAUUAAUUUCAACCAUUAAUUUUCAUACAUUAUCACAAUUUUUUUAGUCUCUAAUAUAUUAAUGGCGUAGUCCGAAGAGCUCACGUUCGCUUUAAAAAUCGGAUUACCUUUUCAUCCUUCUAAAAUGUAAAGUAUUUUGUCUCGAUAGUUAUUUUUAUGUAUAUAUAUAUAUAUUUGUAUAUGAAUGUUUAAUUAAGGUUAAUCUAUAUUCUACAUAGAUAUCCAUCUAAAUAUAAAAGAAAAUCGUUAUAUGUUAUAUUAACAAUACUUUGGUAACAAAAAGAAAUAUUUUAAUUUUUAAAUAAUAUUUGUUUUAAUAUAAGAUUUGACAUGUGCAUUUGCGAAUACUUAUCUUCUGAUCACUUAAACGAAUACGAUUUGACCGUUGCAUGGCUUUAAAACAACAUGGUUGAAAAUAUCAUACUUGAAAUCAAAUAAUAGUUACUACAAUUACUCUAAACAAAAUAAAAAUGUCUUAAGUACAAGUCCAAAUAGCAAAGAUUUAUUAUGGAAGAUAAGUAAAUUAUACAAUUUUGAGUAUACGGGUAACCCUAAAUAGAUAGGUAAAAUGUAAAUUUACUUUUUUACCAAAACAGAAAAUGAAGUAAAGACAAUCUAGAGAAUCAUAAACUAUAUCGAUUAUCUGCAAUCUAAUCGGUUUCCAAGAAAACACUAAAUUGAAAAUUUAAUAAAUAUUAAUACACAAAAUUGAUUCAUCUUCAAAAUACAAACUUAAACACCUAACCUAAAUAGCCAUGUAAUUGUAAGCUUAAAAAUUUGGUACUAAUACUUAGGAUUUAUUAUUGGUAGUAAUGCAAAUAGUAUUUACUGUUCCGGUGAACCGCGGCGGAGCGCGGGGUACUUUACUAGUUUAUUUAGUAUUAGAAAAUGUGAUUCUAGGAACCAAAUAUUUAUUUUUCUCAGGCACUAGUUUCGAUGCAACUGUAAAGCCCGUGUCUGGAAAACCGGGUUGUGUCGAUCGACACCAAGGAAGGGUGUCGAUCAACACUAGUAAUUUUUGUAAUUGUCGGUUCAAUUGGGAUUGGUUUGGGGGAAACCUAGGGUGACUUAAAGGUUAAAAGGUGCACCGUUUUCCUCAUUAUUGAGCUUUUGUCGUUUUCUAAAGAAGAAGAAAGAGCAAAGAAUGUGAGUGAUCUUUUGGGAGCUUUUGAGUGCCGUUUUGGUGAGUUGGAGGCUUUUGAGUACCAUUUUGGUGGUUGAAGGCUAGUAGAGGCUAGAUCCGUGCUGUGUGGUGUUAGAAGAGUCAGAUCUUUCCUUCUUCUUCCCUGUUUUCGUUGCUGUUCAAUCUUGUAAAAGGUGAGUGCAUGACCAAGGCUUAUCUAAGCAUUUUUGAUCAUUAUUUUGGGUGUUUUUAUGAUUGUUGGAUUGAUUUCUUUGCUGGUUUGGCUGUUUAUGUGUUGGUUGAUCCCUGUGAAACCCCUUGGAGACUCGCUCAUGAGGGUGAUUUGAAGAGGAGAUCCAGUGAGAAAACGAAGCUAGAGCGAGUGCAGAGUGUCGGUGUCGAUCGACACCAAUCGUGGGUGUCGCUCGACACCAAUGUUUUGUUCCGCGAGGAUAAUUGCGACUCGCGAAUGGAGUGUCGAGCUCGGUAUCAACCGCGAGUGUCGAUCGACACCUAUGGUGGGUGUCGAUCGACACCGAUCGUCAUCAGCUAUCCUAGUUGUUAUUAAUUGGCUGUUCUGUUCAUUUUUCCUUUAUGAUGAUUGAUUUUGCUUGUGUGUAUAGCCCAGUAGUUGGGAUGAGUGCCUCACUAAGUAUUCUGAAAUACUUAUGCAUCUCUUUUCUGUGAUGCAUGUAAAGGAAAAGUGUGAUCCGUGGAAUCAUGGCGAAGAGAGGAGGAUGAUCUAGGCGCUCGUUGUUAUUUUGGAUUAUUGUUGGAAUUUUUAGGCUGUUAGAAUGGAAUUUAGAAGCAUGAUAGGGUGAUUAUGUUUAUGGAAUAAUGUUUGGUUGAACUUGCUGGUUUAAUGAAAUUGUUUUAUUAGAUUUCUGGUUAAGUCUUCUGCUGGUUAUUGAUGUUUGGUUUUGUUUAAAUUAAUGGUGUGGUGUAAUUGGUUUAAAUUGAUUAGAACCAGAAUAGCUGGUUUAGCUGGUUGAAUGAAAUGGGUUAACCCGGUUUGCAUGUUUAAAAAAAAAAAAACGGGUUGGGUCCUUUCAGCAACCCCAAAGGAGUUAGCUUUGUUCAAAAUUCUAGAUCUUACCUACUUUUUAGUUCUAAAAGAGGUAAGUUAUCUUGGAAACUUGACAUUUAUGGCCAUUUCCGGCCAGCUCUCUGGUGGUUCUCCUGCUCAAUUCUCCACUCUUCGCCAAUACACCGGAAAGUUGGAUCCGCCCAACACUAAAGAGGCACACCCAAGACGCGUAUCCAGAAUGUGAUCUCUGAGGGAUAGGUUGGGUCCAUAGAUAGCUGCCAUCGAACCAUCGACACCAUCCAGUGGUCGAAAUGGAAAGGCUCCAUUUUGAACACCUCCUCUAUGUCUUCAUCGCUCUCAAUAUCAAACUGAAACCUCCCGAGACCGAGAUCAACCCCCACGACCUUGUCUUCAAGCUGCCAAAUGCGAGGAAGCAUAAAGAGUAGUGUCUUCAAGUCCUGUUUGCGUGGAUUCAUGCACCAACCGAUAACGGUUUUGGGAAUAACCGGCUAUCUGAGCAGCAUUGUCGAAGAAUGGCACCUUAACCUUCCGCUUCUGUCCCAGCUCCACCACCUUCUUCCCCGAGGCACCCUUUUUUACAAGAGAGCUCUGUGACAUGAUUAGAAACCAAAAUUGGAAGCCAUCCCCAAGAGAUAAAACCAGAAAAAUAAGCUUAAGAGAGUCGAGAAAGUUGUGAGGGAUACAAAAGAACCGAGACCACCAUUAUAGCCACCGUUGUCUCGAGAAGAAUCAAACAAACGAAUAAUGCCUUUGAUUACAACAUUCCAAAAACCACACCACCGGAUACUUGAAUGGCCCCAAAUCCUCGCGAUGAAUCGCAAAAGAUCAAAGGAGACGAUACAAUCACCCAAUAUAUUGAUUCACCAUAUUGAAUUGAAUCCGUUAGAUAGGAUCUCCCAAAUCUCUUCUUCUACACAAAUAAACUCCAGAAAAGAAAAGGAAAGGCAGAUCCUCUCCCGAUUUGAAUCACCAAAUCGAUUCACCAAAUCCGUCAAUCUUUGAAACCAGAAGAUACCCACGAGCCAACCAAAGAACAACCAUUCAAUUCCCUGCAGAUCAACCGAACUCAUUGUCGGGAGAUCCCAAGAGCCACCGUUGUCGCCAUUAGAGAGAAAGUAGGGAUUUUUUUUUGUUUUAAUUUUUAAUUCGAAACAAAACAGUUUUAAUUAAUAUUAAUGAUUGAAUAUUUAACAUCAAAUUGUUUGAAUGAAAAAUUAUAUUCAACAGAAAACCAAAUUUGUACAACAAGUGCCACAAUAAGAUUUUUCAAUAAAAGAGCUUAAUAAUAAAUUAAAUAGCAGAGCAAUAAUGUAAGGUUUUCUUUCUUGACUUUGAAACUAGAGUAGUAAAUAUGUGUGUUCUUUUUUUCAAAUGAGAAAUGGCUUUUGAUGGGGAGGAACUCAAUGAUGCAAAGCAAAGUGAAAAGAAGAGAAGGUCACGCUUUUAGAAGACUUCAAUCUUGUAUACUAUAUAUUACCGUUAAUACCGGAGAACAAAAAUUACAUAUCACAGUAAACUAAUUCCAAUAAUAAAAUUGCCGAGUCAGUGGAGAAGAAGAAGAAGAUGGAUUCCUUAACAGAGGAUCUUUUGGGUAAUCAUAUUAGCUACCUUACACGAAAGCGUGGCUCAAGCAUUGAUUCCCGCUUCAGAAGCGGAAGCAGAAUCGGAAACGCCCGGAACCGCGCGGAAUCGCGGUGGAAUCGCGUUUCCUAAAAAGCAGCGUUUGGAAUCGUAGAGGAAGAGACGACUCUUAUUUGGAAGCGCACAAGUUGAGGUAUUGGAAGCGUCCGAAGAUUUGCCAAAACCACUUGUUAAUGAAUUAAACGUGUAUCCAUAUAUAGUUUAAUUCUGAGUAGAUUCAUAAAAAAUUAUAAACAAAGAUACAUAUAAUGUCAAGUGUGGCGGCGAACUGCAAGAAGAAACGAAGAAGAAGAUUAGAAGAAGAAACGGUUAGGUUUUCCAAUUCAUACGUCGCUUUUUUCUUUUCGAUUUUUAAAUUAUUUUUUAAAGAAGUUUUAGUAUUUAAGGAAAAUAAAGGAUUGUCAAUCUGACAGGGUUUUAUAAUUCUAAUUUUUUUCCCUUUUCCGUCUCUAUAUAUAUAUAUAUAUAUAUAUAUAUAUUCUUUUCUUUUAUUUUGAUAUUUGAUAAUGUGUACAGUUUAAUAAAAUUAAAUUAAAUUUAUAACCUAGUUCUUUAUUUAGUAUAUACUAUGUAAAUAUUAAAUAUCUUAACAUAUAUGUUUAUUUGAAUAAUUUAAGAUAGUUAAAAUAAUUAUGAUACAUAUAUAUUAAUAUAUAUAUAUAUAUAUAUAUAUAUAUUAUUAACGCUUCCAACGCGUACCCGUUUUCUAAUUUUAUAAGAAAAUUCGCUACCUCGCUUCCAAACGCUUCCGCUUCCGCGUACCCGCUUCCGAGUCCAUGCAGCUUAGCAUAUUAGUGAGAUUAACACUAAAGAGCAUCACUACUUGUGCAUCGGUUUGCAAGCAAUGGAAAUCAAUUCUUAAAUCUCAGUAUUUUUGCGAGCUUUUCCUGUCUCAUGAUAAAAACUCGCAUUCUUCAUGGUCACACAUUUGUAGGGACUCUCCAAAAGAAGUCAUAGCUUACUUUGGAUACAAUAUUUGGGGACUUCCACGAUCUCUAGGAUCGUACAUCUCUUGUUUCAUAGUCGAUAAGUUCGAGAACAGUAAGGAACAUCGUGUUAGACUCGAGGGUUACACGCAUGUAGGCUUUAUAUUGAUCAGUUUGGCUUAUACAAUCACCGAGAAUAUAACCUACUAUAUAGCUAAUAAAACUAUUUCACGACAAUGUCUUGAGAUCCCUCCUAAUCCUUAUCCUCAUUUUUAUCCAUCUCCUUGAGAAUAUGAUUUAUUCAGACACUUUGGUCUGGUCACACCUAUCGACAACAUGGUAAUUUUAGGCUACAAAGCUGUUUACAUGGAUAAAAGCAACAUAAAUGAUACAAUGUUGCAUGUAUAUUCAUCUGAGAUGGAUUUGUGGAGUUUCAAAACCCAUUUGAGGCUAGUACUAUAUACAUGCGGAGCAGAAAUAAAUAAAUGUUUAGUAUCUAAUAAGUUCAACGAAGGUAAGCUUUGGAUUCACAACAACUUGGAGCAUAUAUCAUAUAUGGUAGUAGCCAUGGUAACAUUUUGAGCUUUGCUGGAGAACUUAACCCAUUUCAAGUUCUUUAUGACAUACACUAUAUACCCGUUCAUUCUCCGCGUUGGCUAUAUCGGAUCUCUUCCUCACAAUCAUGAGCAAAGGUGAAGAGUUGUUUCCUUAUUGCUUCUUAUUUAUUUCUUAGUUAUGGGAAAAGGUGAGGAGAUGUUUCCUUUUUUCUUUAGAUGAAGAUAUAUUGGUAACUUUGAUUUGGUUAUUUGAUGAUUGUUAACGUUAAAAAUGAUAUAAGAGUAUAGGGAUUCAUACGCUACAUAAACCAUAUAAAUAAUAGAGUGAAAUAAACAGAGGAGAAAAGAGCAAAUAAUAAAAAAGAAUUUAUGAAACCUAAUAACAUGAUGUUUAUUUUGAUUCGAAAUUUUUUAUUAUUUCGAAUACGGGUCAGGUUUGAUACCGGUCUUUUCUUUUUCAACGAAACACUAAAUUAGAAUAUUUUUAUUAUUUCAUACAUACUUGACGGUUUGAUUCCGGUCUAAUCAGAAUUUUUUUUCUAAUCAUAAUUUUAAGAUACAAUAAAAUUGAUUAAAUAAAAAAAUCAUAAUAGAGCAAUUUCAAUGGAUACGCAUGGCUUCGUUUUUCUUUCUAAUUCUUAAUUUUUGUAAAGAUGAAAUCUAACAUUUGAUUAUGUUCGAAAUACUCCUUUUAAAUAUAUAUAUAUAUAUAUAUAUAUAUAUAUAUAUAUAUAUAUAUCAUAUGUUACUCUAACGGUUUGGGAAUAUGUUAGGUAUAAUAUAUGAAUUGCAUGUUUGGAAUAUUUAAACUUGAAAGUCUAGAACUGUACUGCUUAGAAAUUAUCUUAGAAGUUGAGAAAAUUUUACCAAAUCAUUCAAAAUAUCUGUCUUGAAAAAUUACUAAAAUUUUGGUAAAUAAAUUAUUUCUAUCAUUAGUGUUGGCAAUUUGUUACAGUUGCGAUGAAGGAAAGAAAAAAAGAAAAGAAAAAACACAUAAACCAAAUCUCAUAAUUUCCCUAAAAAUAUAAUUAAAUCUGACCGUUGUGAGAUUAAUUUCGAUUUCCUUAUUCUUUUUAACAUUUUUUUUUCCUUAGUCUUAUUAACUUCAUAAUUAAUUUGUUUAUUCUCUCUCUCCCAACACAACGCUUUUCUUCAUUCAUUCUUCUUGCUUGAUAGAGAAAUCAAAACUUCCUCUUCUUCCUCUUCUAAACCCUAAAACCAAUAGUACAUACAUAUUCAGAGUCUGGGUAAACUCCGAUGAAGAUAUUGGAAUAAAAGCAACCAGAGAGGAGACGAUGAUGAUGCGUAACGGUAAGAUUGGAAAUUGAAUGAUUGAUCAGAAUCGAUCUCUAUUGAUUUCACCGUAUACUGAAUCUACUCACAGAGACGCUUUCACCGGAGACUGACUACGACGUAAGAUUGGAUUCACACAGGACAACCUCGUAGAGUUACAGAGCCGUGGUUAAGUAUACUUUACUAGUUAGCUUUAGGAUUGAACUAUAUGUAAUAAUAUGAUUACAUUCUCUUUUUUUUUUUUUUUGGAACAGGAGAAGAUGAUGGCAGAGGAGCAUCGGCAACUCAUUUUCUAGCUGGUAUGUUAUAAAUAAUCUUCAUAACAUAACAUGUAUAAAUGUAUAUUGAUAUAAGGCUUUGGCGCGUAUGAUAUUUUGGUUUGAGACUAUAUAUAUAUAUAUAUUUGUCGUCAAUUUGAGACUAUAUGUAUACUAGUAUGUUUUUGUGUGUGUUAUGACUUUUGAGAGAGAUAUAUUGAUGGGGUUAUUGGAAAUUUGCAGCAACAACAGGAGAUGGCUAUAGCUAGCAACGCAAGAGGAAUGAUGUGUCAACAACAAAGAUAUGAUUCAACACCCGAAAAAAUUGUUGGCCAAACGCAAUAUACAAUUCCUAAUAAACAUUCCUCUUUCUUCAGGGUUUCUUGCGUCAUGAUAAUCCUGUUAGGAUGUUCUCGUUUAUCUUCAUGCCCUGUGAAGGUCCUAAAACUAACAGAGUAAGAAGGAAGUAUCAAAUAGCUGGACCAAAUGAAGCAUUUCUUGGAUCAAUUGUCAUGUCUUGAGAUCGUUAAAGUUUUCGCAUCCGCAAAAGAUGACAAAGAAAAGUUGCGGCUCACCAUGGAUUUGCUAAUGCUUUGUAGAGCUUCUUCCAAAUGCGAGAUCGAGAGUUUUCUUGUGAAUCACCAUAUUGGUUCUCAUAUUUUCCCAAAACUGUUGGUUGUGUACGACCAUAGUAAUCCCUCAUGUGUAGUAUAUUGGCUCCGGUUCUAUAACCGGUUUAUAAACCCAUAACUAAUUUACUUUCUCCAGCGAUUAUAGUAAACAUAACUCGAUGUAAUGCAGAGGAAACAACAGGAUUUUUAAUGCGUUUUAGCGUUUACGAGCAAGAGUGGGUGAUUUUAGACAUAACUCGAUGUAAUGCAGAAGCCACAAUCUAAAAUGAUGAACUAUAAGUUUUUAACACUGAUUGGUGGGAUACGCCAAGCCCUUGCAAUAGUGCAACGCAUGGGCGACGAACGUGAGCACAAACAGCAAGCUAUUUCGAUGGCUCACUCCCAAAAAAAAUUGAGUUAAUAUCGAGUGGAUCGAUGAUUCACAUAUCAGAUAUUAAACUGAUAAGAACAGAUACUACACUUGAUCUUAGCCAAAAGGCCGAGAAAGGUAUGCUUUAUCUCAAAGUUUACGAGUCCCUUUUAAAGCAAGACGUUGGAUUUGUUUCACAAAUACUCUCCGAUGUGGGACUAGCGUAAGUAUUAAACUGUAAGCUCACACCACCGCUAACAAGUUAUAUAGGUUUAUCGAUUAAUCGAAGAGGAUAAUAAAUUUAAUUAGAAAUUUUAAGUUUAAUGAUUGAUAGAGCUGAUCUCAAUAAGAGAUAACCCUCCAAAAAUAGGCGUAUGCCGCUAAGGACGACAAGCACACGGUAUUCUUUAGUAAAAGGCGAAAGAAUAGUUCGCUAUGUGCUUAUCGCACGGCUCCGUGAUUUGUUGAUGAUGCCUCUCUCCAUCUUAUAUAUGACUUGAGUUCGUUGUCUUUCUCUGUCUGUUUACGAUGUGGGACUUUAAACCAAUGUAUGCAAAAUCAUGCGCUAUGUGCUUAUUAAGCGUUCUAAAAACUGAUAGAAUACGUUGUGACAUUCUAUACGGAAAAAGGUAACAUAUGACAUAUCUACUGCUUUACGAAGAGCAGUUUCAUAAGCUUAUUUACAAUUACAAAAAAAACGGUAAAAGCGAGAACUAUCACAAAUUCGUUUUUAACAAGUAAAAAAGUUGAGGUUGGUUUAGAAAACUACACGCACACACAAUGACGCAAACAUCAACGGAUACUAAUAUACUAUAAACUGUUGUAAAAUCAGACAUAAUACUUCUUUCUUCUUCAUUCUUUCUGCUCCACAAUGACUAAUGGUCUCUUCCAAGUGCAAAAUGUAUUCCAGCAGUUUCAUCAUGCCUACUCAAUCAAAAUGAAGGUUUGAUCAAUAUUCAUGAAUCAUAUUUCACCAGCAAAGAUUAUAGCACAUACAGUACAUGAAUAUAUAAUCAUUGCUAGAGUUUGAAACGGUGGGUUUCAAGUAAGAGCAUAAACAUAGCUGAAACAUCCGUGAUCUCAAGACAUAAAGCAGGGGCUUCUACAGCCAUGGGGUUUGCAACCGUUUGGUGACUCAACUAAGAGAGUUCUAUCCCUCAAUCUAACAAACUACCCGGUUAUGAUUGCAUAUAACCUAAAACCUCUAAGGCUGUUAUUUAAGGGCAUCAAUACUUUGAAAAGAGUGUUCCUUUUUACUCUAUAUUUAGUUUUACAAAAAGCAGUAAUUAGUUAUAUACCUUGCCAGCAAUAUUGUUGGAGAGCCAAUCAAGGCCUUCAUAUAGACCUUCUCCAGAUGUGGCACAAGUGCUUUGAAUGUACCUGUUAGAAGGAAAAACAUAAGGUAAAUCCCACCACACAGUGUGAUCAACCUAACCACAUUAAGGACAGAGUUCGAGAAAGAAGAUAACUUUACCAAUGGCGUUGGCGAAGAGAGUGAAGACCAAGCUUGUCAGUUAUUUCAGCAGCAUUCAUUGCAUUGGGAAGAUCUUGUUUGUUUGCAAACACAAGAAGGACAGCAUCCCUCAGCUCAGACUAUAGAAAGGUGUUCGCGUCUUACUGUGAUACAAGAGAACACCAGAUAGAAAGCUAACCUCAUUUAACAUGCGAUGUAACUCAUCCCUCGCCUCCACAACUCGGUCCCUGUCGUUGCUAUCAACGACGAAUAUAAGACCUUGAGUGUUCUGGAAGUAGUGCCUCCACAGAGGACGAAUCUAUUUUUCAAGGAAGUUAUUUUCAUAAUGUCAAAUAACCAGAAAAAAAAAAAAAAAAACACUCAUAGAUAAUGGACGCGUUAAUUAAAAAAACCAGGUGUUUCAUGAUACAUACAACCAGGUAACACAAAAUAUCAGUACUUGAAUUAUGAGGACACUACACUAUGUUCUAGGCAAGAAUUCAAAAUGUAUACCUUGUCCUGACCCCCAACAUCCCAAACAGUGAAGCUGAUGUUCUUGUAUUCAACAGUCUCCACAUUGAAUCCUGGAAACAAAAACCUCUUCAACAUCAAAAUUUGAGAAUCAAAACAUGGAUUUCUUGGUGUUCAAAUAGUAAUAUAGCCAUAGCCAUCUCCUGUAGUGGUUUGGUUAAGUAAGUAAGAUUUGUCUCUCUUUAGUUUCUCUUCUUUAUUAGUUUAUGUAACUAGCCACAUAUGUGACCUUAGGUCUUCUGAAAUAGACCUGAUCAAGCGAGAGGUAUUCGUAAAAGUCCUAUGUUUUCUUGAUUCUGAAUUUGAUAUUCUAGACUUUAUUAUUAAUUAUUAUGAAUGUUUAAUGUCUAGAGAAUGAAUAGCUAAUAAUUUUGCCGGAGUAGGAUGGUAUUGCACCGCACCGAGAGGCUCAUCAACAAUGGGUGCGGCUAAUCUACGAAGGAGUCUUUCAUUCUAACAUACGGAGGUUGAAGAUUUGGUUUGGGCGAUGUAGUAUAUGCUUGACGCAUCUCGAAGUGAAGUGACUUUUCAUUACAUACUGCUCAGAUUUGGUGGACAUGGUGUCUUCCCCAGCAGAAUGGCCAGCGUUCGCGACAUAUCUAGAGGAGAUUCAAGCAGAUAAGGAAGUGUUUUUUUUUUCUCUUUAGGAAAAGCUCCUCGUUGUUCUAAUCUUAAGGCGGAUAAGUUAGCACGCCAUGUGCGUUCUGAACCGCUACUUUGUCUUUAUGUAAACGAUGUUCUUUCCUUUUGGCUCAUUUGAGUCUUAUAUGAAAGUUGUUGACAAAAAAAUAUACAAAAAGUUUUUUUUUUUUAACUUCUUAUUUUUAAGAUUUAAAACUAAAUAUAAAAGUUUUUACCAAAUAAAUUUCAAGUAAAUAGUUUUAAAUUUUAAUUUCACCAAAAUGUUUUUUUUUCCCUUUAUUGAAUGUAAGUGUUAAAUUUAAAUAUGAUGAAAACAAACCGGACCUAGCAUCAGUCCAUUUGUAGUCCGUCAGUUUAGUGUAAAAUUUCAACAUGUUUUCCUGUAUUGUAAAUUUAACACUUAUAGAAACUUCAAAGUAUUUUUAUAAAUAUUAUUUUAUAUAAAUGAUCUUGAUUUUUAAUUAAAAGUUAAAGUUAUAAUUUAUUGAAAAAUAGAUAAGUUUUGUGGACCCGGUCGUUUUAGAUAUAUUGUUAAAUUUAAGUUAACAAAGAAUAACGACUUCGUUGUUUUCAAAAGUAUAAAAACAAAAAAAAAUUGAUACAACAUAGAGUCAAAUUUCCCAACGUUAAGUUUUUCUUGGAAAUAAACUUUAACUCUUAUUAAAAAAGAUAAAAUUUGUUACUGUUGUAAUGAAGAAAUAAUAGAGCCAAAAUCUUUUUUAAUAUCCUUCAAAAUAUAUUUAACCUGAUAGUUGUGAAACAAAACAUAAAAAUUCCUUUUCUUUUGAACAUCUUAAUCAAUUAGACACUAGGUAAGGACCCGUGCUAAAGCGCGGAGGAAAAGUAUCUGAUUUUUGUUUUUAUAAUCUAAAUCGUAUUAUGUUAAGAUUGAUUAAUGGUGUUCUAUGUAGAAGUUUAUAUAGUUUUUGAAAGAGGGUAUGUGUUUAAAAUUGUAAGGGGUUUGAGGAAAACUAACAAAUAUAGGCCUUGAUUGGUUGCUGCGUAGCUUUAGAUUUUUGUCUGUAUAUUUAGAGUUGUAGAAUUUUUGGCUAUGACUGUAGAUUUGUUUCUGUAGUAUUUGGGCUGUAGGAAUUAAGUUUCUGGAAAGCUGAAACUAUGUGCUUUAGAAAAAAUGGCUUUGUACAGCCAAAGAACAAUAACUAAGGAAAUAUUUUGGCUGUGAAUCAAAAAACGAAAUACAAAAUUUAUAAAGUUUGAUUGCUGUAAAUUUGUAGCUUUGGAAAAAAUAUGGCUGUAGAAAGACUCUAAAGCAGCAACCAAAUUAAAGCCAUAGUGUAAUUUUAGAGUUUAUACGUGUAUACUAAACAAAAAAUAGAAUUUAGACGUAUAUAAUUUGUUAUAUUAACACUACUAUUCAUAAUGUUAAAUUGAUUUUUUUUUAAUUUAGGACCCCUAAUUCAGUAAAAGUGAAUAAUUUUCUAUAUAAUUUAAAAUUGUAUUUAUGUAAGAUUUGGUAUUACAAAGUAUUUGGUUGUAAAACGUGAGUGGUGUGUAUCAUGGUCUGACCUGUUGCAAUAUUAUUAAUAAUGUAAUAAAUACUCUGACCCGUUACAAAAUUUUAAAUUAUUUUAUAUAUUUAUAAUAUUUGAACCAUUUAAAUUUUUUUAAUAAUUAUAAUAUAUGAACCUUUUACAUUUAUUAAUAUUAUAAUAUUUUGAAGCUAUUGAAAGUGUUAAUUUGUUCAAACUUAAAACCGGAUUAUAUCAAAUAAAAGUUUUAAAUUUGGAUGCCUGAUAAAUCAAAUUUACUGUUCAUUCGUAGUUUGGAGCAAGUUGGUCUUCUUUAUAACUAGAAUCGAACCCGCGCUACAGUAUGGGGGAAAGUUAUCAGACUAUUAUUAAAAAAAAUAAUUUACUAGGUAUAAAUGUAUUUUAAGAUUUGUUUUCUUUACAAAUAUAUCAUUUUACAUUAUGAAUUUGCUAUUUUUGUAACUAUUUUUUCGAACAAGUUUGUAUUGAAUAUUAUCCAAAAACAGUAGUGAGUAUGGUUAGUGCAUGAAGCUGGGUUAAAUAACUGAAGUUGAUUAUGGUGAAUCAUACAUAUUUGUAAUGGAUAUAUGUUUUGAAUGUACCAAUCUGUAACAAAUUGCAUUCGUAAAAAUGUUAUUGAUUACUCGCUCUACUAUAUAAUUACGAGUUUAACAAAAUAACCCUGUAAAUUACUAGUAAAACUUAUUCGUAUUAUAAAUUUGAUUAAUUCAAUAUUUGAGUAGUAUAUUUCGUUAAUAAGACUUUGUAUGUACCACUGUUAAAAUUUGAUUUAAUUAUGUUAUUUAAGACCCGUAAAAAUGAACAAUUUUGCAUAUUAUUUCUUUUUGGUAUUACAAAGCAUUUAAUUUUAAAAUUUAAGUGGUGUGUAUCAUGUUUUGACCCGUUGCAAAAAUAUUCUGACCCGUUUCUAAUAUUUUAAAUAUUUGUUUUUAUAUUUGAAUAUUUUAAAGGUUUCAAUAUAUUUUAAACUUUUAAAAUAUUUGAAAAAUAUAAUAUUUUGAAACUUUUUCAAAUUUUAUAUGUUCAUAUAAAUAACUCUAACUUCAUGCUCAUUCAUAGUUAGAAGCAUAUUGAUCAUGUUUAUAAUGAUUUAAAACCAUUGUCCUAAAUAUUUAAUUGAUGUGUUAUGUAUUACACCUUUUUUAUCAAUAAAGUAUAAUAUAAAAUAUCAUUAAAAUAUUUAACCAGCCCGCUUAGAAUUAGGAAAUAUAUUUAAACAACCAAUUUUAGAUAUCCAAACUUUAUUUUAACAAAAUUUUAAGUUUAUAUUGAUAUUUUCUUUUUCAAUUGAGUAAUAUAUAUCCAUUUUGAAAAAUUCAAAUUGCAACAUAUUCAAAAAUAAGGUGAAUUUUAAUUAUAUCUAUAUUAUAUAUUUUAAUAUUAUAAAUUAAAAUACUUACAAAAAUGUGAAAGAGAAUAAUAAAUGUUUAUAAUUUCUUAUUUUAAAUUAGUUAUAGACAUAUUAGGAAAUACAAAAUCUAGAUAUGGAAAUAAUAUAAUAUGUUGGGAAAGUAUCCGAUUUAUAUCCAAUCUCAAUUAAAUAUCCAAUUUUGAAGUAUCCAAUUGUUUAAUUUCGAGUUAAUUUUUAAUUGAACACCUCUCGGGCGUGGAAGCCUGAGAACUAAUCACCACUUAAUCAAAUUGGGAUUAGUUUAUAUAAAGAAAUCUAAACAUUCCUAACUAUGGGCAACCUAGCUACCUAAAGUUCUCCACCUACACAUCUAACUUAUCUCCAAAACCUUAAGACUCUACUAAGAUCUAACAAACAUACUUAAGAACUCAAACCCAUAAAUCUCUAAAUCAUGCAUAGUAGAUAAUGAACUAAGGAGCAAGAUAAUACAAUGAAGCAACAGAAAAUACUCAAUAGAUAAAAAUAUAUGGAGUUUACAAGAUUCUAGAAAUUCUAAAACAAAAUGAAGAAAAACCCUAAUACGACUCGAGAUCAUAAGUCAUUAGGAAAAGAGCCUUUUUAUAGCAAGUUAAGGUAGCCCUAAAACACUAGCAGACAAAAUAGAAAGUCGGUUUAACGGUGCUCGAUCGGUCUGCUUGGUCGUGUACUCAAUUGGUCUGGUCGGAUGAGCUGAUCGAAUGGUUGGUCGAGCUGCUUCUCUGUUCCAAUCUAACACUCGAUCGAUUCCAUGGCUCGGAUCCUCCUGCUCGAUCGGAUGCAACAUCUACACUUGGUCGAUUUGUCCUGAUUUGCUUCUUUUCCCUUGGGUAGACACCUACAUAUGCACAAACACUACAAUGCAGGCAAUGCAAGGCCGAUAUUCUACAAGUGAAGCAAAACAAGGAAAAUAUGCAUAAAUGAUCAAGUAAUGAGACCUAAAAUGACAAAAUCAAUGCAUAAAACUAGUGCUAAAAUGAGUAAAAUCCAGACACAUCAACGACCACAUUGCGUUGGAUCCAACUCGACCUACGCCGAUCCAUUUUCAAAACGGGUAGACACGCGGACUUAUACUAAAUUGGGUCAAAUAAUCGAUUUUAAUUUACAAAAAUUCCUUAUAUUACCCUUUAUAGUUUCAAUUAAGGCUCUCCUUUCUCAAUAAUUGAAUGUUAAUUUUGGAAUUUUUUACCAAUUUUUUGUAAUGACUAUAUGUGUACUUCUCUUUUAAUAUAGAAGAGGAUACACAAAUAAAAUUACAUAUCAAAAUUAACUUUAUGCUUAUCAAGGCUUAUGAGAGAAAAUGACUAUUCAUAAAAAUCAUUAACACACUAAUCAUUGACUAACCACAAACAAAUGAUAUAUAAGCUCGAUGACAAAAAUAAGAUACAUAGGCUAUACCAUCAAACAUAUAGUAAAUAAAUUAAUCAACACGGCAUGUGGAGUGAAGUGAAUGCAUAGUUAAAGAAUCACAGCAGGACAUAUUAAUUUGAAGAAUUGUAACAUAAUGCUUUAUCAAAUGUCAUGUUGAAAAAUUGAUCAUUGAGAAUCUGUAUAUUUUCUCGUGGUAAAGCCGUAAAGAGGAUGCAGUAGAGUUGAAGAGUUUAUUUUUCACUCAAUUUUACUAUUGUUAUAUCAAACAUCUGAAAAGGUACAUAGAAACUGAAACAAUUGAUAAAGAUAUAUAAAAGAUUGAGAAUAAUGAUUUUGAUCUAAUAAUAUACAAAACUAAAUAUCAAAGUUUAUGAUUUAAAAUUAAAUAUCAAAGUUUUACCAAAUAAUUUUCAAGUAAAUAGUUUUAAAUUUUAAAUUUAACAAAAAUGUUUUUCUUUUUCCUUUUACUGAAUCUAAGUGUUAAAUUUAAAUAUGAUGAAAACAAAUCAGACCUAGCAUCCAGUCCAUUUGUAAUCCGUCAGUUUACUGUGUAAAAGUUCAACAUGUUUUCAUGUAUUGUAAUUUUAACACUUAGAAACUUCAAAGUAUUUUUGUAAAUUGUUAAGUUUCUUGAACACAGUCGUUUUAGAUAUAUUGUUUAACAAAGAAUAACGACAUCGUCAUUUUCAAAAGUAUAAACACAUAGAGUCAAACUUGCCAAAAAUGUAAAACUUAAGGGGUCCGUAUCAUGUUCUGACCUGUUGCAAAAACUUAAAUAUUCUAUAAUUUUUUUAUAUUUGAAUAUUUUUAAAGGUUUCAAUAUUUAAAUAUUUUAAACUUUUAAAAUAUUUAAAAAAUAUAAUAUUUUGAAACUUUUUCAAAUUUUAUGUGCUUAAAUAAAUAACUUUACUAAUCGAGAAAAAAAAAAUUGAAAGCCCGAUAACUUAAACUUCAUGCUCAUUCAUAGUUGGAAGCAUACUGUUUGGGCAGAAUUAAUCGUUUCGUUAAGAAACUAUGUAAAACAAGAAAGAGAUGUUGAAUGGAUACUAAAUUAUUUUAUUAUGUUUUUUUUUAACCUAGUAUCCACAAGAGAGCAAAUAAACUCUCUCUCACUUCUUUCUUCUUAUUGGCGACUCUUACCCAGGGGCGGAGCUAUAGAGUUUACAUGAGGGUCAGUUGACCCAUAUGAAUUUUUAAAAUUUGUUAUUUUACUUGUACUAUUUAGAGGUAAAUUUGGUUGAAAUGGUUUAAAUAGGCUUAUUGACCCACACAAAAUUUUGUUUGAAAUGGAUAUUUAAGUUUUAGAAUCAAAAUGACCCAUGUAUAUGUCACGGCUGGCUCCGCCACUGCUCUUACCCCUUUUUCUUUCUCCUAUUUUUUCUUUUUCUUUGUGGAGUAUAUUUUAGAGUCACCCAUUUAUUGUUUAAACCCUUCUCUUGCAUAUUUAUGAGAAGAUUCAAAAGUAGGACAACCAUGCUUCCCAAUUUUUUUUUUUUUUGAAUGUAACCAACGGCUACUCUUCUUUUUUUGUAGAAGAAUGAAGUAUUUGUCUGCUGAUUUGUUUGCUGCAAGUGAUGAUAAUCUUAGCUUGUAAGAUACCAUCGUCCCGUGGGACAAACACAAGGUAAUCAAUCAAGCUCACGAUUCAUGACAGUGAUUAGUGUGUUGAUAAAUAACUGAUUUUUUUUUUAAAGUAUGCUAAUGAGUAAACUUGACUUUGUGUUUACUAGUGGUCAAUGAGACUGUAACUGCUUUCCUCCACCAAUCUCGAGUUGCGACAUCCAUUUUUUCAGGUAGAGUAAUGUUCCAUUCUCUGCUGUACUUUCAAUUCAUCACGCUCAACAUUCGUUGGCUCAUUGAGCCUGUAAAAGACUUUUACAGCUGAAAAAGGUAUAUUUGUACCCUUGGAGUUCAAUUCCCCUUAGCGAUGUAGCAUAAGAGGUAUCGAUCCAGAUGGAUGAAUUGCAAACAAUCAAGAUAUAACAGAUCUAAUCAAGUCAAGCCAAGUAGUUCAGGGGUUGGUUUAAUAAACUCUAAAGCAUAAAAGUAAACUAAAGAAGCAGAACUGAAAGCAGUCAAUAAAGAUAAUCAAUCAGAUAAACAAAGGGUCUUAACGAUGGGCUAAUGGGGUGAUGAAUCCUCUUAGUAUCUUUGGGAUGCUUAACAUGCUCAGAUUGAUCUAAUCCUAGACAAUGAACCACUUAACCUAAUCAGUCCAAUCUCUUGGCAAAGAUUAUCAGAUCUAUAGCACUUCAUAAUCUCAACUUUCAUUGAUGAAACAUACUAUAAAUAGGCAUAAAGAACAAGCUCAUUAAUGUCAAUCUACUCCUUAACAACCAAUCUCUUGGGUAAGUAAAUAGAUCUCUGGCAUUAGUUGAUUAGACAUUCCAUUUGAACACUUUUUGAGUGCUGGAAUGUCUAAGAUCUAAUCCUGCAUGGUUAAUGCUAAGAUAGCAUUAAGAUCUCCUAAUCCAGAAGGUAUCUACCUAAAUCUAUACUUAAGCAACCCUAGAAACUAAGAUUCCUCAUCACCUUACCCAUCCUAUAAACCCUAGAAAGACUACUCAGAUCUGGGGUUCAUCAUGAAGAACACAAACCCAUAAAUCCUUGAAUCUUUCAUAACUAGAUAGAUAAUGAUCUAAGGAGCAAGAUAUUGUAAAGAAACAACUCCAAAUUCUCAGCAGAUCAAAAGAUAUAAAGAUUACAAGUUUCUGGAAAUGUUUGGUGGCUACAGAGAAAAACCCUAAUGAAAACUCGUCCUUGGCUUAAUGACCUAAGAGGUAUAUUUAUACUAAAGGCAGGAAGCCCUAAAACACAAAAAGACAAAUUACAAAGUCGGUUUAAGGUGAGCUCGGUCGGGUGCUUGUUGGGCUCGUUCGGGUCCUCCCUCGGCUCGUCCGUGUUCAGCUUCCUCUUGUGAGUCCGGGUGCUCGAUCGUGCUCGCUUGGUCGGGUUGGACACACUCAAUCGGGUCCAUGCUUUGCAGUGUCCGGGUGUACCUGUUUUUGCUCUAAAAUGCAGAUGAUAUGCAAAUCCCUAUGCUAAAGAUCCUAGAUGCGAAAUAUAAUGCAAAGAGACUAGAAACUCUAAGAAGUAGAGACCUAGAUAUGCAAAUAAUGCACAAAACAUAUGCUUAAGAGUAUUAAAAAUAUAGGGUUAUCAACUCCCCCAAACUUAUUCUUUGCUUGGCCUCAAGCAAAUUCAAAGUAGGGAGAGAGGUUUGAAGGUGGGGACUCAGAACCAAAACUUGCUGCAUAAGAGUUUAAUACCAAUGUCCUAGUUCGUAAUUCUAGAAUGCGAUUCAAAGGCUGUACUCUGAAGACAUUAGCCAUUCCUAUUUCAACACAAAAUGUCAUCAGCCUCAUAACCUAGACAAGCAAUCAAGACAUCCAUCCUUUUUAACAUUCAUUAAGUAGCAACAGUGAAUCUGGAUGUGAAUUUGAAUUUAAACUCAUUUGGCUAGGCAAGUGAAAGGUUUAAGAGAUAAAGAGAGUCUCUUUUUGGUGAGGGUUUAAUCGUUUAAGUGCUGGGAUCUCUCUAUGAACAAGAUUGAGGUUUUGGGAGAAUGCUAAAGGUAAGGACCAACAAAUGCAUACAUGAAUAACAUCUUGACUACCCAAAGUACCCAAGUGAUAUCCUAAUUGUCUAAACCCAUAUGAUCCUAUUCUACCCUUUAACUCUUUUCAUCCCAAUUUCUCAUUUUGUUCUAAGUCUAAAGAGAGUUUCUUAUGAUAAACUAGUGGAUAGGGGGUUUUCUUUAUAAACACUAUGGUUCUCUUUCUUCUUAACACUUAAGAAAUCAAAGCAUUUUGCUAUCUUCACACUUUUCUCUCUUUCUUUUUAAAAUCCAGAACCAUUUCUUUUCUAUACUUUGCAUUCCCCACUUAUCUUUCACUAGAACCUUGAACUUUUCUGAAACUUUUACCCUCCUAAAGACUCAACUCAUUCCCUUAUCCUUUUCUUUUCUUUUCACCAUCCCAAAUAAUCCCAAAACCCAAGUAGAAUCCAUCCUAGUCCUAUCUGAUCAGAAAAAUGCAAAUCAGAACUACUCAAGACCCUAUUCCUGUCGGCUCAAACCUAACAUGUUCUCUUAAAGCUCAAUCCCAAAAAUAGGCCUUCCACUCAGAAUUAAAACAAAGGCUUGAAGGAAAGGUUAAGGUUUUUAGGGUGUGGUUAACUGGUCAAGGUUAUGACCAGCUACUUGGAUCAACAAGAGAGUGGUAAAAAGAGGGAAAGAAGAUCCAAGUAUGUAUACAAGGUAUCCAUGAGUUUAAAACAAAUCACAACCAGAUAAUUAUCAAUUCAAGUUAAGGUUCUUAUAAAUAAAGGAUGGCAUCAUAUCAAAGCAAGUUUCAGUUUAGACUAGAAUUUAAAUCAUGCGAUCAAAGAAUGGUGCGGUCUCAUUUCAAACUCAAAUGAAAGCAUUAAACAACUAUGAACGAGGGCAUUGGUGUUAAAUCUAAUGAAACAUCAAGUUCUUUGGUUAUAAUCACCAUAAUCCCCUAUGCUAAUGCAAUGAUCCUAAAUGCAACAACCUUAAAGCAAGACUAAUAUGCAAAUGCAACUAUAUGAACACUCUGUUUUUUUAUUUUAAAAGGAUUUUCUGAAAAAUUUUCAAAUUUUUAGGGGUUUUUGAUGCACAUAGAUAAAUGCAAGACUAGAUGCUAAAAAUUCAAAAUAAGAAAAUAGAAAACAUGUCAAAUGCUAUCCUAAGCUCUCCCCCAAACUUAAAUUACACAGACCCUUAUGUAAUAAAAAUCUGAAGGAAGGCUUAGGAUCAAAAAGAAAUUUUAAAAAUGCAAGGCUGCAUUUACAAAGUUGAGGGUAAUAGAAUGACCUCUUGGGUGGUAGUCCAAACCACGAGCUCAUGACGUCGAGGCCUGCUGCUACAUGCUUGGUUUGGACAUUUUCAGAGUCGACUACGAGGUGAUAGGCUGACCCGACCGGGUGUGAAGAUCCGGCCCGAUCGGGUGUGCGUUCGGGUGAGGUGCUCGUGUCAGCUCCCGGUUCUCUUCUGGUUCUGAACAGACUCCUCCUUGGAUCAAAUGAGGCUCUAGGCGGGCUAACUGGUAGGUUGGACUUGGUAGGUGUCCUGACUGAUGCACUCCUCCCCAAACCACUAGGCAUGGCUGUAGUGGAGGUUGAGCAUCCGACCUUGUUCUGAAGCUCCUUGAUCUGCUCCCCCAUAUCCUUAACUGUUCCAGCAAGAUCCUUCACAGUGUUCUUCAAUGCCUUGAUAGUCUUGCUUCGGAACUUGUUCUACUUCUGAAGUAUGCUAUUCUUUUUAUGAGCUUCCUUUACCCCCCUUGACUUUCUAGAGGACUCUUCCCACUCGUAAAAAUAGAAGUCCUCUUCCUGCUCUUCCCUAGCAGGCUCUUCUUCUCUGAUCUCAGGUGCAUAGGUUUGUUGGACUGGUUCGAAGCUAGGAACUGGAUCUUGGACUGAGCUCGGGUCAUAUAACCCUGAGACGGGUGGCCAAAAGUCGAUAUUAGCACCCAAUCUGAUCUUUGUAAGCUCGGUGUUAGGCAACACAAUUCUUGCUGCUCCAAGUGAAGGGUGGGUGAACUUAUAUAGAUAAAACCCGUUGGGACGCUCGCUAUCAAGGAAGUGCGUCCUUGUUAAAGUCUCAAUGUCAUUCCAGCGAGCGUUGUAAACCUUCCCCUGUAAUUCAAUAUAACAAGCUACCAAUAGCGGGGUGACUAGUCCACCAAUACUGAUCUCUCCUUGCACACUUCUCCUAACAGCCUUUAAUACCCAAUCCUUGCAGUACAUCAGCUGGUCUAACAGAACCGAGACCAUGCUACCAUCCAUUCUAUCUCCUACUAGUUCUCUACCAUCCCUAGUACUUGGCAAUACACCACUCAAUGCUAUAUCUAUGAGCUGGAUCUCACUCUCGUUCACAUUCCCGGUCUCCUUUCUAGCAAAAAUCGUACUAGCCAAGGACUUAUGGAAAUACCUCAAAGUUGGAUUUCGGAUUUGGGCGCUCUUGGAUUUCGAAGAGGUGUACUCCUUCCCAUCUCCAAUUGUUUUCCAAACAGACUUGAUCUCCUCCUUAAGCACAUCUUGGCUCAUCCCGCUUGCCUGCAAGAACCCAUAGAGGUUCUCAACUUCCUUGAACGUGAGAGAAUAGGUAGUGCCCCUCACGCUGAAGGUUAUGUAUCCAAGGCAGUCAUCUGAGUAGAAAUCGGUUUCAUCCUCGUAGAAAUGGAGCUGAAGUGAAGCCAACACGUAGCACGUCUCCUCGUCGUAGGCUUCCAAGGUUUUAGUCAUGAAUGAGCCAAUGCCGCUUCUCUGGAACAGAAACUCGACAUUUCUUGCUAAGCCCAGCUCCUUCAUCGUUUGCCAGUGAGGAUAGCGAGUUCCAACGAAAUUUUGCCUCUUAAACAUUGCAUAAAGCUCUUCUGGAGGGGGCAUGUUCUUGGUCUUCCUUGGAGCCACUACCCUUCUAGGCUCCAUAUCCACCAUCGGUUCAUCAACAUCCUCUUCUGCAGGUCUCUUCCCCAUCGAAACUUCUUCUCUGGAAAUCGGGUGGGUCUGACCCGAUCGACUGGCCCGAUCGGGUGAUCGAGUUCGUGCUCGGGCUUCUCUUCUUCCGCUUCUGACCCGAUCGAGUCCGGUUCCAGUGGCUUGGAUUGUCAAGAAAUUUCUUCAGCAGAUUGGCUGUGAUGAGCUUCUUGUUGUGAUCUUGAGAGGCUCUUCCUUCUGGGUUGGGGAAUCCUUGAAAACAUUCUUGUUUUCUGGGAAUGAGAAACUCAAAACUCAAAUUUAAUAGGUUAGUAACCCAGAAAAUAAGAAAACCAAGAACAAUCUUGAAAAUAAACCCAGAAAAUAAGAACACAAGGUUCAAUUACACAAACAAACCCAGAAAAUAUGAAGAAUCGAAAGCAAGUUUAUCAACAAACCAGAGAAUGAGAGGAACAAGGGGCAAAUGAAAUCAAACUCAGAAAUUCUAUCAUCCAAGAAUCUAGAGAGAAGGAAGAGAGAAUUCUAGAGAGAUAAAUGAUUUUUUAGCAAAAUGAGAGAGUGAGAGAGGUUUUGGUCGAGUUUAGAUGUUAUAAAGAGGGUGAGAGGGGACAAAAAUCUGAAAGAGGAGCGUUUUUGGUCGGGAUUGGUUCAAAAUUUGAAUUUCAAAUCGAGCUGACCAUUGACCCGACUGUUACCUUUGACCCGAUCGGACGGCUGAGAUGAACCCGAUCGGGUGGCUCAGAUUGACUCGAUCGGACGGUCGAGAUUGACUCGAUGGAAUCGCGUUGACCCGUCCGUGUGAGUGUUGACUCGACCGAACGGGCUUGUGAAAUUGGGCUUUUAAGGCUCAAAUUGACUCUUUCUUCCUCCUUCCCUUAUCUUGGCCCAAUAACACCUUUCUUCACUCACAUUCAAACCUGAAAACACAUCAAACUAAAAAGAACAUCAAAUUUUAAAAACUUAAAGAAAUAUGUACAAGGAUACCUUUGGGACUUCCUCCCAAGUGAGCUUGUUUAUAGUCGCUAAGCUUGACUUGGUAUAAUCCUCACGAAGUGUUUGAACAAUGGAGAGGUUCAACCAUUCUCUCCAAUGCCAAUGACCAAUGUAUCCGUUACUUCUUCCUGGCAGCAUGUCUCUUCUUGAAAGUAAAUACCCUCUUUGCUUUCCUAGAAGUCAAGAUGUCGUUCUUCUUCUUCAACAUCACAAUUUCCUCGGUUAAUCCCUGAAUAGUGGUCUUAGCCGCCUUAAGUCUUUCUUGAGAGUCUUGAUCUCCUGGAGCUCAACACAAGUUGGAGAAGAGGUCGAGGUUUCUUCUAUUCUGAACGUUGUACUUUGGUGCGGAUACGCCAUAUUGAUCUUCAUCCUCGUCCGUCUAACAAGAUCAAGAGUCAUGACCCCCAUUCUCAUAUCAAUAACUGCUCCUACUGAGCCUAGAAAUGGUCUUCCUAGAAUUAGUUGAUACUGAGGUUCCCUUUCCAUCUCGAGAAUCAGAAAAUCAGUGGGAAUCUUUACUCCUUCAACUUCAACAAGGAGAUCCUCCAAUACCCCUACGGGUUGCCAAGAGCUUCGGUCCGCCAUCACAAUCGUCAGGCUGCAUGGUGUAAAGGUUGUAUAGCCCAUCCGCUGAGCUAUUGAGAGGGGCAUCAAGCUAAUCGAAGCGCCCGUGUCGCAUAAACAAUCGUUGAAGAUCGUUGAUCGGAUUGAGCAGGGGAGUGUGAAAGCUCCAGGAUCCCCCAUUUUCUUGGAGAAAUCAGAAUCUUGAGAGGGUGGAAUCCAACUCUUCCUUUGCUGCAUCCUUUCCAAUAGGACUUCUUUGAGAAUCUCCCUGUAGGAGGGAAUGUUGGCGAAAGCAUCCACCAAAGCCUUCAGCUGAUCGUUCCCUGAUAGUGAAUCGAGAAUGUGGUUAUAUUCUUCCUUGAUUUCUGCCUUAGAUUCUUCAGGGUAGAGUAGUGGUCUUUGAUUCGAAGGCUUGGGGCUGGUAGCUCUGAUCGGGCGAAGAGGCUCGUCGGAACUUAAUUCACACAAACUGUCAGACAAGCAGCGUACACGAUAUCGGGCUCGAUCGGGUUCAUGGUACCUUUGACCGGAUCGGUCGAGUCUUUGGUAGACUCGAUCGGGUUCACCAUUGGCACGGUCGUGCCUGUUGUAGACUCGAUCGGGUUCACCAUGUAGGGUACAAAUUGGGCUGAAUCCUCCCCCUCUUGAACCUCACUGUCCUCAGUGACAAUUGGGAAUGCUUUUCCUAGAGUAAUCGCAUGAGCAGUAGCAAAUUCUUUAGGGUUUAUGAUAGACUUUCCUGGGAGUUGGCCAGAAGAUGUGGAGGGUUGGCUGCCUUCCAAGAUAACUACCCUUUUGUUUAAAGAUUCGAACUUUUGGUGGAGCUCCUGUAUAGACUCACGCAUCUCGUUGCGAAGUUCGGCUUACUGCUUGGCGUGUUCCAGGAGGCUAUUGUUCUGUGUUUUGAGAAGCUGAUGAAGUGUUGUUUGAAUAUCUUGUUCUGGGUGCACAUUAGUAGGGUGCUGUUGGAAUCCUGGAGGGUGUGAUAUAGGCUGUUGAUAAGAACCUUGGGACUGUUGUUGAGGUUGAAAAGCUUGUUUUUGAUUAAAGCCUACAUAUGGCUUGUUCUGGAACUGUUGUUGUUGAGGCAGAUAGACUUGAUCUUGGGGGUUCACGACGUUGGUGCUUCUAUAAGAGAGAUUCAUGUUGGGUUUGUAGUUGUUGUAACCCUUUUGGUAACCUCUUGAUUCUGGAUAUAGCUCACCUCCUCAUUCACCAUCAUUAGGUUGGAAGGUCUCCUCCUCUUGAACAAAGUGUACAUUCUUCUGCUGGUUCAUCAAAAACUUAUCGAGCUUGUCGUUAAGUGCCUUCAUAUCCUUCUUAUACUUGUCCUCUUGGUCAUUGUUGCCUUUAACGGUUCUGUCAUAAUCCUCGUUGUACGUGCCAUCAGACUGAGCUAGGUUCUCCACAAGUUCCCAUCCAGCUUCAACAUCCUUGUUUAGAAAGUUUCCAUUGCUAGCAGUAUCGAGGAGUAGGCGAAACUUAGGUAGUAUUCCUCGAUAAAGGGUACUAAGCAGCGACUCAUUGCUGAAGCCGUGAUGAGGGCACUGUGACUGAUAGCUCUUGAAUCGUUCCCAUGCUUCAUAAAAUGUUUCGUUGUUGCGCUGAGCGAAGCUAGAGAUAUCAUUCCUCAAUCUGGCGGUUCUUGCAUUGGAAAAGAAUUUGGAUAGGAAUGCCUUCUUACACUCUUCCCAUGUCGUGAUUGAACCGGCUGGCAAGGACUUUUCCCAUUGAUGAGCCUUGUCGCUUAAGGAGAAAGAGAACUAUCGCAGUUUGAACUCAUCUUCGCUCACUCCGUUAAUUUUGGUUAAGCCACACAUUCGAUCGAACUCAGUGGAUCCUCCAUUGAUAAUCCAUGGAAUUUAUUUCCUUGUAUCAUUGAGAUGAGGCUGCUUUUAAUUUCGAAGUUAUUGUUCUGGACUGCUGGCGGGACUAUCCCUUGUCUAGUGGUGUGGUUUCGUGGUGCAUCACCGGCUCCGAUUAGGGUUGGGGCGCGUGGUAGAGGUUCCAUAUCCACUUGUUGAGUGUUGUUGUCUGAUGCUUGAACGCGUUGCUUUCUGAGUUGUCUUGGAAAGCGGUCAAUGUUGUUGAGGUAAUUGAGUAGGUAUUGGUUGCCCUUUGAUCUGGUGUGCAUGCAAGGUUACUCGAUCAGAAACACGUGGUGGACUCGAUCGGAUCUGCAGUUGGCUCGGUCGAGUGUAGAGUGUAGCUCGAUCGUGCUGAGUGUAGCUCGGUCGAGUGCAGAGUGUAGUUCGGUCUAGUGUACCUGAAAUGCAAGACAGACAAGUAGCAAAGGUAGAAAUCAGUAAGCGAAUAUGAAAGAAAGUAAACGAACUUGAUCUAGAUAGAACUGGGAUCCUAAAUGGAACAAAUAACAUCCAAAUGGCAGCAGCGCCAAAUUGAAACAGGUAUUUUUGUACCCUCGGAGUUCAAUUCCCCUUAGCGAUGUAGCAUAAGAGGUAUCGAUCCAGAUGGAUGAAUUGCUAACAAUCAAGGUAUAACAGAUCUAAUCAAGUCAAGCCAAGUAGUUUAGGGGUUGGUUUAAUAAACUCUAAAGCAUAAAAGUAAACUAAAGAAGCAGAAUUGAAAGCAGUAAAUAAAAUAGAUAAUCAAUCAGAUAAACAAAGGGUCUUAAGGAUGGGCUAAUGGGGUGAUGAAUCCUCUUAGUAUCUUUGGGAUGCUUAACAUGCUCAGAUAGAUCUAAUCCUAGACAAUGAACCACUUAACCUAAUCAGUCCAAUCUCUUGGCAAAGAUUAUCAGAUCUAUAGCACUUGUUAAUCUGAACUUUCAUUGAUGAAACAUACUAUAAUUAGGCAUAAAGAACAAGCUCAUUAAUGUCAAUCUACUCCUUAACAACCAAUCUCUUGGGUAAGUAAAUAGAUCUCUGGCAUUAGUUGAUCAGACAUUCCAUUUGAACACUUUUUGAGUGCUGGAUGUCUAAGAUCUAAUCCUGCAUGGUUAAUGCUAAGAUAGCAUUAAGAUCUCCUAAUCCAGAAGGUAUCUACCUAAAUCUAUACUUAAGCAACCCUAGAAACUAAGAUUCCUCAUCACCUAACCCAUCCUAUAAACCCUAGAAAGACUACUCAGAUCUGGAGUUCAUCAUGAAGAACACAAACCCAUAAAUCCUUGAAUCUUUCAUAACUAGAUAGAUAAUGAUCUAAGGAGCAAGAUAUUGUAAAGAAACAACUCCAAAUUCUCAAUAGAAAAAUAUAUAAAGAUUACAAGUUUCUGGAAAUGUUUGGUGGCUACAGAGAAAAACCCUAAUGAAAACUCGUCCUUGGCUUAAUGACCUAAGAGGUCUAUUUAUACUAAAGGCAGGAAGCCCUAAAACACAAAAAGACAAAUUACAAAGUCGGUUUAAGGUGAGCUCGGUCGGGUGCUUGUUGGGCUCGUUCGGGUCCUCCCUUGGCUCAUCCGUGUUCAGCUUCCUCUUGUGAGUCCGGGUGCUCGAUCGUGCUCGCUUGGUCGGGUUGGACACACUCGAUCGGGUCCAUGCUUUGCAGUAUCCGGGUGUACCUGUUUUUGCUCUAAAAUGCAGAUGAUAUGAAAAUCCCUAUGCUAAAGAUCCUAGAUGCGAAAUAUAAUGCAAAGAGACUAGAAAAUCUAAGAAGUAGAGACCUAGAUAUGCAAAUAAUACACAAAACAUAUGCUUAAGAGUAUAAAAAUAUAGGGUUAUCAACAGCUCAUCAAACUGUGUGGUCGCAUUGGGUGUGGCUGAGUCAAGACGUUUUUUACUCGUAUAAUAGUAAGUCACUUGGGAGAGGUGAUAGAUAUUUCUGGUGGUAAUACGAACACCAGAUUAGCUCAGAACAACACGUCGUCAGUCUUGGCAGAGAAUGACAUCCGCAAAAUUAGGAGUAUUUACAAUUUAUCCCCUACAGUGGCUCUAAGGCGUUCUCUACCUUCUGAGCGUAUUAUAGAUACACAUCUCGAUGAGAUCGAUGUGUAUAAAUACAACUUUGCAUUAAGCUUGCGAGAGACUAUUCCUUCUUUGGUUGUGCAAAUGGCUACCCAAGUCUUUGGAGAAUUUUAUUCUCUUGAUAUAGGAGUAGAUGAGAUCUUGUACGCAUAUUACUUCACUCCACUUGCAGAUGACAUUAGUAGAUAUUCUAUACACUCGCGACGCCAUCAACAUUUGGUGUUUGAUGUUGAUUUAAAUGAAAAGAGAAAGCUUGAAGGAUCUUGACGACAAAGAUAUGUGUAUAUGAGAGUCGGUUAUAACCCAUGAUUUCCCACUUCUUGGUUUGAUGAUGGUGGGUCUAUGAAUGUGAAUGUCGUACGUUACAACUUUUACUUUCACAUGUGCAUAGGUAGAAGGAUCGUUUCGCAAGUGCUUUCACAUGAUCCUAAAUAUUGUUGCGUUGCUUUUCUCACCAGCAAAUUCGUACUCGAACACUCUAGUUUCUGGGGUAUGAAAUAUGUUGCAUACUUUUUUGUUACUAAUUUCAAAUUUACUUAUCAACAAAUGACCGCUUUCUUAAUAUAUUUCUUGUGUGUUAUGCGCAGGAUUCGACAUGUCGCGUGCCCAGCGUUGUUCUAUACCUGAUAAUUUCGCUUCAUUCCUUGCUGCUCGUGGGAAACUGAUUGGGACUACACUCGCCUCAAAAGAUUCUUCAGAUGAGGCCGAGUGUGUUGAAGUUUCUAUCGCGAGUAAGCGCAAGGCUCCUCAAGAUGUCUCAUCAUCAUCACAUCAGAGACGUACUAGACUUGCUCGUGCAAGCACCUCGUCUAUUUUCACGCCUCCAUCUUAGGAGAUACUUGCUAGCAGUGAUGCUUCUUCGGUUGUUGAAGAACUUAAGAACAAAGUGUUCUCUCAUGAAUUUGAAUCUCUAGAUGCAGAAUGAACUACUGCUAUUGCUAAUGAAGUUUUUGGCGACCUUCUCAAGGUAACGUUAAACUGAUUUUACUUAUGUUAUAGAUGCGUCACCUGUAGAUUGUCUUUUAGAAAGUGACAUAACUCCUUGCUUGCUUCCUGUCUUAGGCUAUGUCAUCAUUCCAUCUUGUAGAAAGGAAGCUUUCAUCCACCACCAUUGAGGUCGCAUGUGAGCGCCAAACGGUAGUCAGCCUUGAUCUUGAAAAGAAAGAGUCUCAUACUUUAAUUUCUUGGAAGAACGAUCGUGAUCUUAUCAUUCUCGACCUACAGACGGAUGCAGCAAAGUUGCACUCGGAAAAAGAGGUGUUGUCGCAAGAUAUCGUUAACCUUAAGAAAUGCAAUGAGCAUUUGAAGAACGAGCAUGACUUUUAUAUGAAUGGAUCGGCUAUCAUUUCUCGAUGGGAGACGCUGCAUGAAUGCUUACUCACUGAGCAAAAGAAUUGGAACUUGGCAGAUGCAGACAUGCAAAACUAGGUUAUGUAAGCUCAAGCCGAGUACAAAGGAGAAUCUCCCCCUGUUUUUGCUGAUUUACUUGUCUCCAUUGCUGAGAAAAGAGCUUGAGACCCUUAGUUCUUCCUCUACUCGUACGUGCGUAACUUGGCACGCUUCCCUUACGAUUUCUCUUUUUGUCGCAUAAUAUAUGAAUGCAACUACUAACAACAUUGUGUGUUAUGCUUCUCCUUUUUUUAUUUAUUAUUUUAAACUAUGUUGUCGUUGUAAGGACUGCUCACUGAGCUUCUUGAGUUCUAAGAAUGUCAUGACACAUGUGUUUGGACUUGUGCUCGUGACACAUAUUGCGUGUAUCAAUUUAUGUACCAAUCGUGUCUAGUAUUUAUUAUGUCUCGAGCACAUUUAUUAUCUGUCGUGCUCGUGACACAAUUAUUAUCUCUCGUGCUCAUGUCACAUUUAUUAUGUGGCGCGAAUAAUCCUCGUGCUCGUCACAUGAGAGAUAGUGUAGCAUCCGUGUCCGGGUAUUCUAGUCGAGCUUGUGAUCGAGGAUUGAGAUCAAUGCUCGAAGGAUUAUCGAAGGAAAAGCUAUGGAUCGAAGAUUUAUCGAUAGUGAUCGAUAAUCAGCGAUGGAAAUCAAGUGUACCGAGAAAAUCUAUGUAAACUGAAGAGUUUAUCGAGUGUUCCGUGUUUUUCGGAGAAAACUGACGGUUACUCGGUCCGAGCGUAAUUUUCGGACAAGGGUGGUCGGUAGCCGACAUGUCUGGUCGAGAGUCCGACAAGCUUGGUCGAGCAAUUAUCGAUGUCCGAGAUGAUGCGUGUGAAUUGUUCGAGAGAAUUGGUGGGAACGGUUACUUUCUUGAGAAAACACGCGGAUCUGAGUUAAGUGGCAGUUACUUGACGGUUUCUGAAGGAAGAAUCGAUUAAAAAGGAAGUUACUCGAUAUUCUUCGUCACUUAUGUUAUGUCUGCGAGAGAGUCCAAGAAAAAGAGAGAAACGAGGAGAUUUCUUCGAGAAAAGGUUGAGAGAUGGUGAUUGUGAGUCGAGUAUGAGUGGUUAUCGUCGAGGAUGAAGAUUCGUUGAUGAUCCUUAUCGAUCAACGAGCAGUUUAUCGAGGAUGUGGUUUCUGGGAUCGACUAGGGUCGAUAGAAGUCCAUGUAUGAUGGAAGAUCUGAGUUUCAUCGAGAGUAUGAGCAGUUUAUCGUCGAUAAACAGAUGGAGUAUCGUCAAGAACAAUUCUGGAUGCCGAGUUCUAAUAGAAAUCUGUUGAGAUCGGUCAGUUCUGCCUAACGGUUACUGGAUACUGUCGUUGUAAUCGUGAUCGACUGGCGGUUAUCGAGAUCGAGUAGAAGUGUUCGAGAUUCUGGAAUGAUCGGUUAGUUUGAUCGAGAAAGCUGUCCGGAGAUCGAAGGUCUUAAUGAUGAAUAUCGAGAGUUUGGUUCCGUGAGUGAGAUUGAGGAGUGAAAGUACGGAUCUGUGUAUGGAUCAGGAUUAUGAGUCAUGAUCGAGAGUUCUUUCGAGUGUUGAUUCAUGAUCGAGAGUUUGCGGUUCGAUGAUCCGAGAAGAUCAUGUCCGGAUGUUCUGUUGGUCGAGGAGGGUCGAUCAUGUGUGUCUGUUGAUCGAGAGAUCAAAGGUUCUGAUCGGAGUGGUGUUGAUCUGAUUAAGUGUUCUGUAAGUAUGUUCGGUGUGAUGUUGAUUCCGGACAUCUCUCUUUGUACUUAGUCAUGUGGGGAUGGUUGGCUGAGUGACUAUGUACCGAGAGAGAUGUUGGAUGACUCAUCGAUGGCCGAGCGGUUAUGGAAGCUGUUUCGGAAGCUGGAGCAUUGGAGUAUCGAGAAGACUCGUGGAUUCGUGUACAUUGGUCGGACGAGUUGGUUCGAUAAAUGGCCAAGGUACGAUUGAGUUAAGUUUAAUUAUAUCUGUUGUUGAUUUUAAUCCGCUGCGUAGGUUGUUCUAGUUAUGUUGGUAGUUGGAAUCGGUCUGUUUUGGGAAGUUUGUGGAAGUUGAAUCGUCGUCGGAAGUUUAUCGGAAUUUUAGUCUCCGGCGAGAUAGAAUUUCUGUGUGUUCUGUGGUCGGAGUCCUAGUAGCGAGGACGGGGUAUUAUAGAUAGCCUGGUGCUCAUGAUAUAUAUAUAUACUACAAGAAAACAUGUGAUUAGUGACUGCAAAAACAAUCACUAUUCAGUCGCUAAGUACCAUAGAACGAUUGUUUAGCGACUAAAUAACGUAGUCGCCAAACCAUGCGUCGCUAUUUAAUAACUGUAGUGCAACAUAGUUUAUUGGUCACUAUGACGUCGCAAAUCAGUUGCAACAUUGGCAAAUGACUUGCGUAUAUUAUGAAACUGUUUUGCUACUGUAAAUUUUUACUGUUUUAUGACAGAAUUGGUUUGAAAUCUCGAUUUAGGAUGCUUUUAAAUUUGACUUUGUAAUUACAAAUUGUUUUUAAAACAAAAAAAAAUUAAAACAUUUUCAUUCAAAACAAACACAAACAUGUUUUCAUAUUCAACAAAAUACAACCAAGUUCAAACACAAUACAACCAAGUUUGAACACAAUACAACCAACACAUGUUUUCAUGUUCUUUCAAGUUCUAGUAGGAGGGAAGUUAAAGGAACCUAUUCAUCUGUAGAGGCAUCAUUGGACCCAGAGAUGAGGAAAAUAAGGAAAUUGGGGUAAGUUGCACUCAAGUACUUCUUGACAGGCUUCAAGUGCUUGAUCUCAGCUUGUUGCUCAACUAAAACCCGUGAAGCCUCUGCUUCACGCUCUACUUGAAUAGCUGCUUGUUCCUUUAUCUUCCGAGUAGCUUCCUCAAGCUGUUGCUGCAGGCUUGUUGUGAAAGAAGAAGUGCUUCCCGGGUACUUUCGCUUCCCAUUGAUGUAAUCCCCUAGGCUUCCAACUCCAAAGUAUGCUCCUCUAUCAUUUGUGAAAGUAGACUGCAUAAACAAAACUUAAAAUAACAGAAAGCUACUCACAACAAACAAUAUCAAUAAUCUAUCCUUUAACAUUUUUCAGGAAAAAGCAAACAUACAAUCUCAGAAAAAGCAGCACAUUACCUGAAGAAAGAUCUUGUCAUCCUCCUCUUGAGAUAGCUCUGAUCUAUGUGAAGUACCGUUAGAAGUCUCAUCAUUUUCGAGUGCAGCCAACUUAGCUUCCUUGUUCUUCUUAUAUGCCUCAUGAACUUCUUGAGCUUUCUCAUCAACAAAGGUACGAGUCCUGAUAAAAACUUCCUUUUUGGUACGAGUCCUGAUAAAAACUUCCUUUUUGGUACGAGUCCUGAUAAAAACUUCCUUUUUGGUACGAGUCCUGAUAAAAAAUUCACCAAUAGUUGGAGGUCUUCCCAAUUUCACUUCUUGAAAUGUUAAAAUAAUGUUAAGAUGAGGACCAAGAACAUCAAAUGUAACAUAUCAAUUCAAAUUUAAUGUUCUGAAGAAGUAACUUACCAUGUCUUGUUGGACUUGUAAGUAAGACUUUUGCCCAGAUACAUGCUUGUGAGGACCACGACCAUUAUGGUCUGACAUUCUAGCUACUGAUGUAGUUGCACUCUUUCCUCGGGCUUCUUCGGUAUCCCAAUAAGCACACUUUUCUUUCCAUAAAGUUCCCUCAAUCGAAAUUGGUUUUUUUCGUCGAGAUGCUACCUUGGAAACCAUGUCUUUUAUACGGCGUUGACACACUUUAUUUUCUUGAACAAGACCAGUAUGUGUUUUCUUCCAAGUGUGUUCUUUCUACAAAACAAGAGGUGUUAAUGAAAAAAUAAAUAAACAAAAAGGUUACAACAUUUUGAUAGGGAAAUAAGUUUACCGCAAAUUCAAGGAAGUAUCUCUCUCUUCUUUUGGUAGGCACACAACCCCAACUGUAAUACUUCCGGGUAAUUGCUGACCUGUCCUUACCAAUCCUACAAGCAUAAAAGCAUACAUUCACAAGUCAAACUAUUACAUAGACUAAUCAUAGAGACUACACAAUUUUAAAUUAUAGAGACUAAUCAUAGAGACUAAUCAUAGAGACUACACUACGCAUUUCUGAUAUCAAGGCAUACUUAGAAAUACAAUCCCAAUCACAUAAACUACACAACCUUAAUCACAGAGCACUCAACCGUUAAACCACUCAACUUCAAAGAGCCAAUCUCACACUUAGACACAAGAACAAUCGAAGAAUUAAGUAUAGUUAGAAGCUUACCAAGUUGUUUCAGGCUCCAACUCGGGAGAGAGGACAGUCGUAUACAACUCACGACCUAGCAAGCAAAGCAGCUCAUAUAAAGCAACGAGUUGAUCUUCUAGGAGUGUUGGGUAUGUUGCAGCAUCUUCCUUAGAACCAGAUUCAUCAUCUUCUUCCUCAUGUGAGUUUUGCGCUUGAGAACUAUGGUGUGACAUAGAGCCUUGAAGUUGAGGAGAUGGUCGAGGUUGGUUCGAGAAAGCAGGCUGAUUGGACAUUGAAGGUUGGUUCGAGAGAGGAGGCGUCUUUGUUGAGGUAAUGAACCAGCUCUUCGAGCUUCAUCAGAAGGAGAUGCACCAAGAUAGCUCCUCGUAGGCUGGAAAAGAUUCCUCGGAGGAGGAUAGUCUCUAAUAGUAGGAUUCAUUGGAGGCUAAAAAACAAGGACAUGACUCUCAAAAGAAACGUUUGUUGUGCCAUAAGGGUUCGCCGGUGUGAAGGUGUACUGGCUGGGAAGGCCCUUCGAUCUCCGAUUUGUUUUCUGUGAACCACUUAAGGCAGUUGGUUGACUUGAGUUGUAUCGCGGAGCUCUUCCUCCACCUUUCGUAUUUAUAGAGGCAUCGAAUUUGAUAGAAAACAGGCUGAUUGGGUGUCUUAGGGUUUGAUGUUAGAGAGAUCGAGGAACAGAGAGAUCGAGAGAGAGAAAGAGGCGAUUAGGGUUCGUCGUUUAGAAUGGGUGUCAUUCGUCGAGAGAAAAAGAGAGAUUGGGCCGAAACAGGCGAAGACCUCCGACCCAAAUGAAAUAGAGAGUCACAAAUCCAUAGCGAAUUUAGCGACUACAACAACAGUUGCAAAUGUAGUUGCCUAUUUGCGAGUAUUUUGUGACAAUAAAAAUAAGUCUCAAACUACCGACGGUUUGGCGACUAAAUCAAUUUUGUUGCUAUUAAGUGACAAGAAAGUGGCCAGUUAGUCGCAAUAUUUAGCGACUACUCGUACAGUCGCAACAUGCAGUCGCUAAAUAGCUGUUUUCUUGUAGUCGCACGACACGGAUUAUUGUGUUGCACACAUGACAUUGUUUGUUUAUGUCGGGUGCUCAAGACUAUGUCUCUUGCUUACGACUCGAUUAACGUCAUGCGUUCAUAACAUGAUUUCUUUAUCUCUUGUGUUCUCGAUACGCGACUGUGUCUCGUGUUCGCAACACGAGUAAUUGUCUCGUGAUAAUGUCUUGUGUUCAUGACAACGUUUUUUAAAAAUCAGGCACGCGACAUGAUUGUUAUGUCUUGUGCUCGUGAUACGAUAUUGUUUACAUGUACACGUUUUUAGUGUUCCAUUAUUGAAGUUUUUCUUCUAGAGUAAACAAUUUUUUGGAUGUUCAGACAAAUGCAAAAUUUGAUUCGUUCUUUCGUAAAACCGCUUUUAUUAAUAUCCACUACUGCACCCCCCGCUGUACCACUGAUUGCACAACUGCUACCACCAUCUGUUGCGCCUUAGGGCACCUCGCCUUGAUAUGCCCCGUUUCCUUGUAGUUGAAACAGACACGAGUCUCCACAUGCGGCUCACUCUUCUUCGGAAAGCUCGCCAGCUUGUGAUCUAUGCUCCCGCACCCAAAACAUCCACGACCACCCUGACCUGUUCAAGAAGCAUCAUCACACUUCCUCUUAUGUCCUUGAGCAGGCUUGCCGCCCCUGCUCGGAACCGACUGCGGCUGGGUCUUCUUCGGCUGCAUCGACAGACUAGGAACCACCAUCUAACUCCUCAGCUCAUCCUCAAUACAUGUCGCCACCUCAACCAGCUCCACACACGACGCGUAGGUUCGCACCAUGCAUCACACCCUCAUAUCGUGGUUGAGACCCUUCAUGUACCGACGCACCUGCAUCUCCUCUGGAUUUCCCGCAUGACCCGAGUACACUAAGUGUCAGCUAAACUCCGAGUCAUACUCCCACACCGACCGCUCAUCCGGAGUCAACGCCAGAAACUGCGACUCCAUGCGAUCCAAUGCCUCUGACGGAAAAUAUUUGGCAUUAAAGUCUGCCAAGAAGUCCCUCCGCACCAUCAAUCCAUGCUCCCUCUUGGCCAGCACACUCCUCCACCAAAAGUGUGCAUCACCAGCCAAGUAGUGAGCCGUUAGGUCCACCUGUUAUGCCUCCGCGAACCCUAUAGACUAGAAGUACCGCUCCAAUCUCACCCACCACUCAUCCGCUGCAGCAGGAUCGGAGCCCUUGAAGAACUUGCACAUCCCGAACCUCUGCAGCUGUUCCAUCAUCCGUAGAUAGUACGGCUACUUGCCAACCGCACCUAUCCCUUCUGGCUGUACAACCCCGACACCGGGCUGCACACCAGACCCACCUGGCCCAACAGUCUGCACUCCCGCCACCCUGGUCCAACAGGAGGAUGCCCUGGUACAGCUUCGCGUAACUUUUUCAACAGCUUUUUCACCAGAUCUGCAAUACGAUCAUUCUGACCGAGCUCCCCACCUACUAGAACACCCCAACCGGGUUUCUAGCCACAUCAAUAACGUCUUCGGGCAAGCCGGUUCCAAAGGCACUCACAAGGAUCCCUCCUGAUACGACUGAGAAUCGCUGACAUCCUCGGUCGUAGCACUCAGGCCCACACUCGUGUCGCUACCCGAGGCAACACCACGCCCCCUAAAUGAACAUGUGCUCCACACAUGAACAUUAAUCCACACAACACACAACUUACCGCGAAAUCUCAUUGAAGGCUCGAGAGAAUGAUCUUGGUCCCCAUGCCCACACAAUUGAUUAAACACAAAGAAAUCAAUCAAGCAUGCAAUUCACAUCAUCAUUUCUCAGCAACGAAAUUCACACAUUACAUCAUCACGACCACACAUUUAACCCAGCAUCAUUUUUAAUCAUGCAACCCAAUUAAACCAUUUAAUUUAAACCAACUAAACCGACUAAAUCACUUUAAACCAACUAAACCAAUUUAGUUCAUCCAAUUCCAAUUUCAACUGGUUCACUAGUAGUUCCAAAGUAAACCAGUUAAAACAAUAAAACCAGCGAAAAACAGUAAAACAACAAUGCAGUAAAACAAUUGCAUUAACCAACUAUCCAACAAGCAUUCCAAAGAAAUAACAUAAACAACCUAUCAUGUUUCUAAGUUCUAGAACUAAAAAUUCCUAAAAAUUUCCUAACAUUAUUCAGAACAACCAAAAAGCCCCUAGAUCAUUCUUCUCUCCUCGCCAUGAUUCCACGAUCACACCUUUCCUAGAGAUGCAUAAGUAUUUCAAUAAAUACUUACUGAGGCACUCAUCCCAACUACUUAAUGACUCUUCUAACACCAACAACCACAGAUCUAGCCUCCUCUAGUCUAAUCAAGCAAGAACAAGCCUCCAAAUCCCACUAGAACUCUCCAAAACUCAGUGGAAUAACCCUCACAUUUCCCUAUUCUUUUUCUCAACUUCUAAAAGCGGCUGAAUUAGAACAAAGACGAACUUUUUCUCUGCACAUCAUAAAACUUAAAGGAAAAAAGAUUCCUACCUACACGAAGUAUAGGAGAAUGCAUGGUCACACAUGCCAAGUAUAAUAUUGUAUACUCAGCUACACGAAGUAGAUGUAUUGCAUGGUCACAUAGUUGAUGCAUGUGGCCUUGCAAUACAUCUAUUUCGUGUAGCUGAGUAUACAAUAGUUGAUACUAGGAUUUUUCUAUCAGUUACCCUAGAGUACUAUCAUGUCAUUGCAGUACAAUAGGUAUCAAUCCAAUCAGGUGUGAUGCUAGCAAUCAAGAUAUAUCAGAAAUGAUUAAGUCUAGCAAGUAUAAAUGAUUUUUGGUUUUCAGUGAUCCUAAGCGAACAUGUUAAACAUGCGAUAAAUAUAAGGCUAUAAAACAUAGACUACCAUGCAUAAGCUAAAACGUAACGAUUAUUGAUACUGGCAAUAAAACAAAGCAGAACAAGUAAAUAACUAGAGAAUUAAACAGAAAGCACAAAUGGAUAGAAGAUCCUGAGGAUGAGGUUAUUGAUGUAGGUGGAGUAUGCUAAUCUACUUCGAGUGUUUAUCAAACUGCAAACAUUCUAAUCCCUAGACAAUGAACUUCUAAUACUAGUCAAUCCAAUCUCUUGGCAGAAAUUAUCAAGUUUACAACACUUCCUAAUCUCAAUUCUCAUUGAUGAAACAUGUAGUAAACAGGCAUAAAGAAACAACUCAUUAAUGUCAAUAAACAUCUUAGACAACCAAUCUCUUGGGCUAAGCAUGUAAAUCUCUGGCACUAGUUGGUUCAGACAUUUCAUCAUAUACCUUUUGGGUAUGAAAUGUCUAUGACCCAGUUCCAAUUUAUAAGAGAAGAACGAGCUAAUAAAACUCUAAUCCAUAAGAGAAACAAAACGAAUCUAACAUAAACACUCUAGCAAACUAACAUCCUCCACCUAAUCUAUCCCAUCCUCAAGAACCCUAACACUACUCAGACGCAAAAAUUAUGUUAAACAUCAUGAAACACGAAUCGUUCAAAACAUACAUAAUAAUAAAGAUGAAAAGAAGAGUAACAACAAUGAUUCAAGAACUAAUUGCAAAAUAUCAAUAACUCAAAAGAAAUCACGAUUACAAUUCUCAGGAUCGUUUGGUGGCUAACAACAAAAACCUAAAUAAAAUAUAACUCGAUCCCCUGGGCAAAUUAAAUGAGACCUAUUAUAACAAUGUUUGGGAAAACCUUAAAACAUAAAACGACAACGUAAAAGCGGUUCAAAAGUUGUUGUGACUAAGUUGGUCGAGUGAGAAUCUCGAGUGAGCAUCUUCUCUGCUUUGCUCGAUCGUGUCACUCGAGUGUGCACGUCGAGUGACAGUUGUUUCGCAUUCCUUCGGUUCAAUCGGUCACCCUACUCGAUCAACUGCUCGAUCCGCUACUCGAUCACCCUACUCGAUCACGUCCAUCGAGUGAAGUAUGUUCCUGCAACGCAUCCCUGCUUCUCACUCGAUCGUCCCACUCGAUCAUAUGCGUGUCGAGUAACGCUUGUUCCUCUGCUUCGCUCUGCAAACACUCCAAACAUGCAGAAUGUAUGCAAGACAUGCAUGAUAUGCAUGAAACCUACCUAAGUAUGUAAAACAUGCAGAAAGUGAUCAAUAUGAUGCGAAUCAACAAGUGAACGAUGCUGAAAAGAUGAUGAAUACAUGCUCAAAAAGUGAUGAAAUACAAACUUAUCAACUCCUCCAAACUUAGUCUUUGCUUGCCCUCAAGCAAAGCAAAAAGAAACAAAGUGGAAGAGAUGUUUGAAAAUGGGGUCUCAGAACCUGUAAGUUGCAAGAUAGAACAGUUAAAAUCAAUGUCAUGGUUGCUAAGUCUAUGAUGCAUGCUGAGAGAACUUCACUUAAAGACUUUAGACAAACUCAUCAAAUCCGAAACUGAUUAUAUCCCUUGAUCUACACAUGCAUUCAAAUCAUUCAUUCCUUUUAACAUUCAUUACUCAAGUAUAUGCAUCUGGUUGUGCAAGGCUUAAUAAACUCACUUGGCUAGGCAGAAAAAGGUUUUGAGAAUCAAGAGGGUUUAAACAAUUUCAGGACAAGGAUCUCUCAAUGAAUGGAUUGAGCUUUAGGGAGAAUGCUAAAGGUAAGGACCAACAAAUGCAUACAGGAAUAAAACCUUGACUACCCAAUGGUUCCCAAGUGCUUACUCCUAAUCGUCUAAACUAGAAUGAUCCCUAUGUCUACCCUUUAACAUCAAUCCCAUUUUUUUUUUUUUUACCUUAGGAGAAGUUUCUUAUCAAUACUAGUGGAUAGGGGGUUUCUUCUUUACUAUGGUUCUGUUUUCUUCUUACGUUAUAAGACAUCAAAGCUUUUUCUCUUUCUUUACAUCCCAGAACCAUUCUCUGUAUAUCAUGCUAUCCCCAUAAAAAUCAAUCACUAGAGUAUAAACUUCUAGAAAAACAUUCUCCUCCUAAGGACACAACUUUUUCUGUUUCUCUUCUUUCUUUCCACAAUCAUUCCAAUCUCAAACCCAAGUAAGAAUCCAGACCUAGUCCUAUCUGAUUUGAAAGUGAAAAUCAGAACUACUCAAGAUUUUAAUCCUGUCGGCUCAUACCUAACAAGUUCUCCCCAAGCAUAAUCCGGUAAAAGACCUACCACUCAAAAAUUAUCAAUUGGCUUGAAAGAAAAGGAUAGGCUGUGGGUAUGGCAAACUGAUCAAAAGAAAGAUCAGCUACUUGGAUCAACAAGAGUGGUGAAAGGAGGAAGAUGAUCCAAAUAUGUAUAUGGUGACCAUGAGCAUGCAAGCAAAACACAACCAGAUAUUUGCAGGUCAAGAUUAAGUUCUUAUAAGGUAAGGAAUGAGAUCAUAUCACAACAUGUUUCAACCAAGUUCAAGAAUGCUCUCCAUUAAUUCCAAGUUUGUUUCAGACUUACUUCAAGUUCAAUCAUCAUGCAUCAAAGAGCUAAAAACCAGGGCAUUGAUCUCAACUGGUGAAUCAUAGCAAGUUAACAAGGUGUAAAUCAUCAUCGCCCCCUAUGCUAAUGCAACGGUCCUACAUGAAACAAUCUAGACUCAAUCCUAGUUUGCAAAUGCAAGCUACAUGAUCACUCUGUUUUAAAAGUUUUUUUCUGAAAAUUUUCAAAUUUUUAGGGGUUUUCAAUGCACAUAUAUGAAUACAAAUUAUAUUCUAUAAUUUCAAAAUAAGAAAAGUGAACACAACAUCAAAUGUCAUCCCAAACCCUCCCCCAAACUUAAAUUACACAGUCUCUUGUGUAAUAAAAAUUUGAGAGUUGGUUUGAGAAUCAAACAAACAAAAGUAUGAAAAUGCAAUGGUAUAUACGGAUGAAGGUUUGGAGUGGUACCUUACUGAAAAUAUCAGUCCAGGUAUUGAGUCAUGGAUUCGCUUGUAUAAGCACCUGGUGCAGGCUGCGCAGGAGGAGCUUCUGUAGGAUGCUCAACGUUGAGUGAGCAAACGGCGAGAUUGAGAGAUCCUGUCGAGUGAGCUGAAAUCUGACGAGUCGAGCUAGAGCUUCAUCGUCGAGUGGCGAGGAGCUCGCUUGGCCGGUGGAACGGGAGCAGACGGUGGUGAGACUGUCGAGUAGAGAUCGACAGAGUACGAGUGCGGUCGACUGAGAGACAGCUCGAGUGCGCUGGUCGAGUAACGGUGAGUCGAGUGGUUUUUGAGAAGACCGUAUGAGUUGAGUGAGAGGGAGAACCGAAUGAUUUGGAGAGUGGUGAUGGAGUGAGAGGAAGAUAAGAUAUGUGUGGUGUGGGUCGAGUAAGUUUUUUUUUUUUUUUUUUUUCAAAAUUAUCUCUACCUCCAUCUCACUAGACUAUGUUUGAUACUGCAUCUUCUGCUCACUUCGUUUAUUUCACUUUCUGAUGAUAAUGUCUCUGUUCUCUCAUCUCUUUGAACUCUUAAACAACACAAAAUCAAAAACAAAAAUUAAAAACACAAAAACUUUAAGCAAUAUGUACAGAGAUACCUUUGGGACUUCCUCCCAAGUGAGCUUGUUUAAAGUCACUAAGCUUGACUGUUUAUGCCUUUUAGGCUUUGGGGGGCUCAUAUAGAGGCAUGGAGGACCCCUCUGGUGUCUCUUGAUCAGCUAGGUAACGCUUGACACGUUGACCGUUCACAGUGAACUCGCUGCCACCCUUGCUUAGGAGAGUGAUCGCACCAAAUGGCAAAACAUCCUUGAUUUCAAACGGUCCAGACCAUCUAGACUUGAGCUUUCCAGGAAACAGUUUAAGUCUGGAAUUGAACAGCAAAACAUGAUCACCAGCCUUAAGCUCCUUAACAACAAUCCUGUUGUCAUGGAAAGCUUUGGUUCUCUCCUAGUAGAUUUUGGAACUUUCAAAAGCAUCAAGUCUGAUUUCCUCAAGUUCAUGGAUGUCAAGAACUCUCUUUGCCUGAGCUGCAUCAAUAUCCACGUUCACAAGCUUGAUAGCCCAAAGCGCCUUAUACACAAUCUCCACAGGGAGAUGACAUGCUUUACCAUACACCAACUGAAAAGGCGUCCUUCCUAUUGGUGUCUUGAAAGCUGUCCUAUACGUCCAUAGAGUAUCAUCCAACUUGGUAGACCAAUCUUUCUUCGAAGCCCCAACAACUCUUGACAAGAUUCCUUUUAUUUGCUUGUUAGAGACCUCAACUUGUUCACAGGUCUGGGGAUGGUAGGCUGUAGACACCUUAUGCUUUACACCAUAUUUCUUCAACAUGCUUUCAAAAACCUUGUUGAUGAAAUGUGUACCACCAUCACUGAUCACUGCUCUCGGUACUCCAUAUCUAGGAAAAAUGAUGAGUUUGAACAGUUUCAGAACAACCUUAUGAUCAUUGGUGGGACUUGCAAUGGCUUUAACCCAUUUUGACACAUAAUCAACUACAACCAGAAUGUAGACAUUGCCGUUUGAUGGAGGGUUGAACGGUCCCAUGAAAUCAAUUCCCAAACAUCAAAAAUUUUUACUUCCAAAAUCGGGUUCUGAGGCAUCUCAUUCCUUCUGUUGAUGUUACCCAUCCUCUGGCAAGCGUCACACUUGGUGAUGAAACUGUUUGUAUCCUUGAACAACGUUGGCCACCAAAGGCCUGCUUGUAGAACCUUCGGAACUGUCUUGAAUGUAGCGAAGUGUCCUCCAUAUACUGAUCCAUGACAGUGCUCAAGCACUCCCUGCACUUCUCCUUCCGCUAUGCAUCUCCUAAACAGCCCAUUUGAACCUCUCUUGUACAAGUAGGGUUCAUCCCAGAAGUAGUGGUUGACAUCUCUGAAAAACUUCUUUUUCCUAUAAGGAUCCAUGUUUGCAGGAAUCUCUCCACAGACCUUGUAGUUCACCACAUCCGCAUACCAGGGCAUACUCUCUGAAUUGACUACUAAACAUUGAAGCUCCUUCAUAGCCAUUCCUGUUUAAUGCAUCUUCUUGCAUAUCUCAACGACCAUAAGAUGUUCUUCAGGCAUAGAGUCAUCGAUAGGGACUGGAUCUUCUUUUCUCAUUCUGAACAGGUGAUCAGCAACGCCGUUAUCUAUCCCCUUCUUGUUAACAAUCUCCAUAUCAAACUCCUGGAGUAGAAGUAUCCAUCUCAGCAGUCUCGGUUUGGUAUCCUUCUUGGAGUAUAUAUGCCUGAGCGCAGCAUGGUCUGUGUAGACUACCACUUUUGAUCCCACCAAGUAACUUCUGAAUUUCUCAAAUGCAAAGACUACAGCCAAGAGCUCUUUCUCUGUUGUUGCAUAUCUCCCUUGUGUCUCAUCAAGAGUUCUGCUCUCAUAGUAGAUGACAUGCAACUUCUUCUCUAUUCGCUGCCCCAACACAGCCCCUACUACAUAAUCUGAGGCAUCACACAUUAUCUCAAAAGGAUGAUCCCAGUCUGGAGCUUGGACUAUUGGUGCUGAGACUAACGCUUCCUUGAUCUUGUUGAAAGCUGUCAGACAGCUUUCAUCAACUACAAACUCGACCUCCUUGCACAGCAGUCUUGUAAGCGGUCUUGCAAUUUUCGAGAAGUCCUUGAUGAAUCUUCUGUAAAACCAAGCAUGCCCAAGAAACUCCUUAUAUCCUUGAUUGACUUGGGAGGCUGCAACUGUACCAUGAUCUCAAUCUUUGCCUUAUCAACCUCAAUCCUCUUCUCUGAUACCUUGUGUCCCAACACUAUCCCUUCAUUCACCAUGAAGUGGCACUUCUCCCAGUUGAGCACUAGGCUUGUCUCCUCACAUCUUGCUAAUACCCUGCAGAGAUUCAACAAACAUGAGGAGAAGGAGGAGCCAUACGCAGAAAAAUCAUCCAUGAAUAUCUCCACCAUCUCCUCUAUCAAAUCCGAGAAUAUAGAGGUCAUACACCUCUGAAAUAUUGCAGGUGCAUUACAUAAACCAAAAGGCAUGCGUCUGUAGGCAAAUGUGCCAUAGGGACAAGUGAAAGUAGUCUUUUCCUGAUCAUUUGGGUGGAUAGGGAUUUGGAAAAAUCCGCUAUACCCAUCAAGGAAACAGUAGUAGGGAUGAUUGGCUAAUCGUUCUAACAUUUGAUCAAUGAAAGGAAGAGGGAAAUGAUCUUUCCUAGAUGCAGCAUUCAGUUUUCUGUAAUCAAUGCACAUCCAAUGCACAUCCUAUGGCCAGUGAUAGUCCUAGUGGGGAUCAAUUCAUCUUUUUCAUUUUUUAUCACUGUAAUUCCUCCUUUCUUAGGUACGCAAUGUACUGGGGAUACCCAAAUACUAUCAGAGAUAGGAUAGAUAACCCCAGCAUUCAACAGUUUAAGAAAUUCUUUUUUCACAACUUCCUUAAGGUUAGGAUUCAAUCUCCUUUGAGGUUCAAUACUAUAGUAUGAUUCAUUUUCCAGAUUAAUCCUAUGCAUGUAGAGACUAGGUGAGAUCCCCUUGAUAUCAUCUUAGGAAUAACCUAUGGUCCUUCUAUAUUUUCUAAGCUCAGUGACUAGCAACUCUAAUUCCUCAUUACUCAAGCUAGCAUUCAAAAUGACAAGAUAAGUAGAGUUGGAUCCAAGGAAUACAUACCUCAGUCCUGAGGGUAGCGGUUUGAGCUCAACCUUGGGAGCUUUUAACUCUGACAAGUAAUCAUCAGCCGCGUUGACAGGGUCAACAGCAGGGUGAGUGAUCGGGCUGCCACUGACUUCCUCCUCUACUGCGCAUACCUCCUUGACAGACUCAUCCAAUUCCUCAAAACGUUCUGAAUUAUCAGUUGCCUUGUAGGUAUCCAGUAACGUUUCGUAGACCUUUGUCUCAGCAUGAAGAAAUCCAUCUGAUCCAUUCUUUGUCAAGGCUGUCUUGAGAUGAUUCUCCUCAGCAAGUUCUUCUAAAAGUUCAUCAGCUAGCUGAUCCAUCUCCUCUAUCCAGAACACCUUGCCAUUGAUUGUUGGUUUCUUCAUGGACUCCUUGAUGUCAAAAGUCAUCUUGAAGUCUUCUCCCAAGCAAAGAUUAAAUUUUCCUUUCUUAACAUCAAUGAUGGCUCCUGCAGUGGCUAGGAAUGGCCUUCCGAGAAUCAAGGGAUCCUUAGGCUCUUCAUCCAUUUCCAAGACAACGAAAUCUGUAGGAACUUCAACAACACCAAUCCUUAUUAGUAAUUCUUCCAAGAGUCCAUGCGGAAGCCUCACUGAUCUGUCAGCUAGAAUGAGAGAUAUGUUGCAUGUCUUGUAUCUUGUAAAUCCUAAACGCUUAGCCACAAACAACGGCAUCAGACUCACUGAAGCUCCAAGAUUACAUAGGCAUCUGCUGAAUGAUAGGGGGCCUAGUGAGCAGGGUAGAGUGAAGGAUCCAGGAUCCAUAAGCUUCAAGGGAGUGAUCUUCUUCUAGAUAAUGGCACUGCAUUUAUGACUCAAUAUCACCAUGCCCCAGAACUCUUUUGUUCUGUCCAUAACCAAAUCUUUGAGGAACUUCUGAUAAGGAGGGAUAAGUGCGAAUGCAUCCAGCAAUGACAUUCUCAACUCAAUCUCUCUCACUUGCUUUUCAACUAACGCCUUAUACUUCUCAGCUUGUUGCUUUUUGAAUCGUCCUGGAAAUGGUAGAGGUGGUUUGUAUGGUGGGGGAACGUAUCUCGCAGGCUUAUCCUUGGAUGCUGCAGGUGUUUCAGCAUGUUUCUCAGCAGGUUGAGGAGCUUCUUCAGGUACGACUUCUGAUUCUUCCAAAGGAACAAUCGGAUCUUCAUUCUGACAUACAUCAUCCCCUUCCAAGUCUUCACUGUCCUCAGUGACUACAACAGGUCCUUUUCUGGGAGGCAAGUGUUUACCGCUCCUCAGCGUGAUGGCAUGAGCAAACUCCUUAGGAUUCUGAACAGCUUUUCCUGGGAGUUGGCCAGGCUUUGGGGAAGAAGUAGAAGCAGUUUUGCCCUCCAUAUACUUGAUCAUGGAAUUCAGAGUCUCAAUCUUCAUGUUCAGAUCAUUAUAUGAGCAGUCCAAUCUCUGAGUCAGCUCAGCAAACUUCUUAGCAUUGUCCAUGGAGCCACUUGCUUGUCCCUGUAGGAGUUGCUGAAGCAUGUUUUUCAUGUCAUGGUCUGGUGCCUAAGGAGGCGGAGCGUGUUGAGGUUGGAAUCCUGGUGGUGGUCCUGCUGGAGGUUGGUAACCUUGCUGAAACUGUUGUUUGGGCACAUAACCUUGGUUUUAGGGCACAAAUGGUUUGUUCUGCCCCUACUGCUGCUGUUGUGGAAGUGGAUAAACCUGAUCCUGGGGAUUUGCAAUAUUGGUGCUCCGAUAGGACAUAUUGGGAUUCUGCUUAUAAAGAUUGUAUCCCUUAUUGUAUCCACCUUGGUUCUGGACAUAACUUAUCUCCUCAGAUUGUUCUCCCUCCCCAUUCAGAAUCUGGAAAGGGUCGUCUUCAGAGACGAAAUGGAUGUUCCUCUGCUGGCUCAUCAAUAGCUUGUCCAACUUAUCAUUCACAGCUUUCAUCUCCUUAUUAUACUUCUCAUCAAGAUAUGUGCUUGCCCUGAUGGUUCUAUCAUAAUCUUCAUUGUAGUUGCCAUCAGAUUGGGAUAGGUUCUCAACAAGCUCCUAACCUUCGUCGACGUCCUUGUUCAGAAAGUUGCCAUUGCUGGCAGUGUCAAGCAACAUCCGGAUCUUUGGGAGAACACCCCGAUAAAGAGUACUGAGGAGAGUCUCCUUGGUGAAGCCAUGGUGGGGGAACUGAAACUGAUAACUUUUGAAGCGUUCCCAGGCUUCACAAAGCGUUUCUCCAUUCUUCUGAGUGAACCCAGAGAUCUCAUUGCGCAGACGUGCAGUUCUAGAGUUGGAGAAAAACUUGGCAAGAAACGACUGCUUGCAUUGAUCCCAGGAAGUGAUAGAUCCUCGAGGAAGAGUUUUCUCCCAUUGAUGAGCUUUGUCACCCAGAGAGAAUGGAAAGAGACGUAGCUUGAAACCGUCCUCACUGACCUCAUUGAUCUUGGUAAGACUGCAGAGACGAUCAAACUCAUCAAGGUGAUCCAGGGGGUCUUCCAUAGCCAGACCAUGAAAUUUAUUCUGCUGGACCAUGGAGAUCAGACCACUCUUGAUCUCAAAGUUGUUGUUCGGCACGGCUGGAGGCACUAUACCCUGACGAUUGGUAUGGUUGCGUGGAGUAUCACCAGCUCCAAUCCGUGUAGGUGCCCGUGGUGGGGGUGGUGGUUGAAUGUUUUCCAUCUCCACUUGGGGUGGUGUAACUCUGUUGCGUUGCUGUCGUGAUGCAUGUACCAAGCGAUCAAUAUGGUCGAAGGGCUGGAACAAGUUCUCUGUGCCUUGCAACCGUGUGUGCAUACAACUCAAAUCAGCUUAUCUCUCUUAUCGGUUGAGUGUGUCAGUCGAGUAGGAGCAGUUGAGCAAGAGUUGUACCUGAAUCAAUAGACAAACAGAAGGAACAGAGUGAGUAAUUGUAGUGAAUGUUAAGUAAAAACUUGAUCUUAGCAAGUCUGAAAUCUCAAAUGUAACAAACAAACACCCAAAUGGCAGCGACGCCAAAAUGAUACUAGGCUUUUUCUAUCAAUUACCCUAGAGUACUAUCAUGUCAUUGCAGUACAAUAGGUAUCAAUCCAAUCAGGUGUGAUGCUAGCAAUCAAGAUAUAUGAUCAGAGAAGAACUAGCUAAUAAAACUCUAGUCCAGAAGGGAAACAAAAUGAAUCUAACAUAAACACUCUAGCAAACUAACAUCCUCCACCUAAUCUAUCCCAUCCUCAAGAACCCUAACACUACUCAGACGCAGAAAUCAUGUUAAACAUCAUGAAACAAGAAUCGUUCAAAACAUGCAUAAUAAUAAGGAUGAUAGGAAGAGUAACAACAAUGAUUUCAGAACUAGUUGCAAAAUCUCAAUAACUCAAAAGAAAUAUGAAUUACAAUUCUCAGGAUCGUUUGGUGGCUACAACAAAAACCUAAUAAAAAUAAAACUCGAUCCCUUGGGCAAUCCAAAUGAAGCCUAUUUAUAACAAUGUUUGGGAAAACCUUAAAACAUAAAACGACAACGUAAAAGCGGUUCAAAGGUUGUUUUGACUAAGUUGGUCGAGUGAGCAUCUCGAGUGACCAUCUUCUCUGCUUUGCUCGAUCGUGUCACUCGAGUGAGUGUGUCGAGUGACCUGUAAAACAAUCAGCUACUUCUUUGCUUUGCUCGAUCAUGUGACUCGAGUGAGUGCAUCGAGUGACAGGUAGUUCUGCUUCGCUUCCCUUCUACUCGAUCUGCCACUCGAUCGUAUACGUCUGCUGCUCACUCGAACGUCAAUGUAACUGCAACGCAUCCUUGCUCCUCACUCGAUCGUCCCACUCGAUCGUUUGCAUGUCGAGUAACGCUUAUUCCUCUGCUUUGCUCUGCAUGUCUCCUAAGUACCUGAAACACUCCAAAUAUGCACAAUGUAUGCAAGAUAUGCAUGAUAUGCAUACAAUCUACCUAAGUAUGUAAAACAUGCAGAAAGGGAUCAAUAUGAUGCGAAUCAACAAGUGAAUGAUGCUGAAAAGAUGAUGAAUGCAUGCUAGAAAAGCGAUGAAAUACUGACUUAUCAACUCCCCCAAACUUAGUCUUUGCUUGCCCUCAAGCAAAACAAAAAGAAACAAAGUGGAAGAGAGGUUUGAAAAUGGGGUCUCAGAACCUGUAACUUGCAAGAUAGAGCAGUUAAAAUCAAUGUCCUGGUUGCUAAGUCUUUGAUGCAUGCUGAGAGAACUUUACUUAACGACUUUAGACAAACUCAUCAAAUCCGAAACUGAUUUUAUCCCUUGAUCUACACAUGCAUUCAAAUCAUUCAUUCCUUUUAACAUUCAUUAUUCAAGUAUAUGAAUCUGGUUGUGCAAGGCUUAACAAACUCACUUGGCUAGGCAGAAAAAGGUUUUGAGAAUCAUGAGGGUUUAAACAAUUUCAGGACAAGGAUCUCUCAAUAAAUGGAUUGAGCUUUAGGGAGAAUGCUAAAGGUAAGGACCAACAAAUGCAUACAGGAAUAAAACCUUGACUACCCAAUGGUUCCCAAGUGCUUACUCCUAAUCAUCUAAACCCGGAUGAUCCCUAUGUCUACCCUUCAACAUCAAUCCCAUUUUUUUUUCUUUUUGCUUUUUGCCUUAGGAGAAGUUUCUUAUCAAUAAUAGUGGAUAGGGGAUUUCUUCUUAACUAUGGUUCUGUUUUCUUCUUACGUUAUAAGACAUCAAAACUUUUUCUCUUUCUUAACAUCCCAGAACCAUUCUCUGUAUAUCAUGCUAACCCCACGAAAAUCAAUCACUAGAUUAUAAACUUCUAGAAAACAUUCUCCUCCUAAGGAUACAACUUUUUCUGUUUCUCUUCUUUCUUUCCACAAUCAUUCCAAUCCCAAACCCAAGUAAGACCCCCGACCUAGUCCUAUCUGAUUUGAAAGUGAAAAUCAGAACUACUCAAGAUUUUAAUCAUGUCGGCUCAUACCUAACACGUUCUCCCCAAGCAUAAUCCGGUAAAAGACCUACCGCUCAAAAAUUAUCAAUUGGCUUGAAAGAAAAGGAUAGGCUGUGAGUGUGGCGAACUGAUCAAAAGAAAGAUCAGCUACUUGGAUCAACAAGAGUGGUGAAAGGAGGAAGAUGAUCCAAAUAUGUAUAUGGUGACCAUGAGCAUGCAAGCAAAACACAACCAGAUAUUUGCAAGUCAAGAUUAAGUUCUUAUAGGAUAAGGAAUGAGAUCAUAUCACAACAUGUUUCAACCAAGUUCAAGAAUGCUCUUCAUGAAUUCCAAGUUUGUUUCAGACUUACUUCAAGUUCAAUCAUCAUGCAUCAAAAAGCUAACAACCAGGGCAUUGAUCUCAACUGGUGAAUCAUAGCAAAUCAACAAGGUGUAACUCAUCAUCGCCCCCUAUGCUAAUGCAACAGUCCUACAUGAAACAAUCUAGACUCAAUCCUAAUAUGCAAAUGCAAGCUACAUGAUCACUCUGUUUUUAAAGAUUUUUCUGAAAAUUUUUCAAAUUUUUAGGGGUUUUCAAUGCACAUAUAUGAAUGCAAAUUAUAUGCUAAAAAUUCAAAAUAAAAAAAAAGAACAGAUGAGUUAGCUCGCAAGACGGUUGAGUGUGUCGGUCGAGUAGGAGCAGAUGAGCAAGAGUAGUACCUGAAUCAAUAGACAAGCAGAAAUAACAGAGUGAGUAACUGUAGUGAAUGUUGAAUAAAAACUUGAUCUUAGCAAGUCUGAAAUCUCAAAUGUAACAAACAAACACCCAAAUGGCAGCGGCGCCAAAUUGAUACUAGGAUUUUUCUAUCAAUUACCCUAGAGUACUAUCAUGUCAUUGCAGUACAAUAGGUAUCAAUCCAAUCAGGUGUGAUGCUAGCAAUCAAGAUAUAUCAGAAAUGAUUAAGUCAAGCAAGCAUAAAUGAUUUUGGGUUUUCAGUGAUCCUAAACGAACAUGUUAAACAUGCGAUAAAUGUAAAGCUGUGAAACAUAGACUACCAUGCAUAAAUUAAAACGUAACGAUUAUUGAUACUAGCAAGAAAACAAAGCAGACCAAGUAAAUAACAAGAGAAUUAAACAGAAAGCACAAAUGGAUAGAAGAUCCCGAGGAUGAGGUUAUUGAUGUAGGUGGAGUAUGCUAAUCUACUUCGAGUGUUUAUCAAACUGCAAACAUUCUAAUCCCUAGACAAUGAACUUCUAAUUCUAGUCAAUCCAAUCUCUUGGCAGAAACUAUCAAGUUUACAACACUUCCUAAUCUCAAUUCUCAUUGAUGAAACAUGCAGUAAACAGGCAUAAAGAAACAGCUCAUUAAUGUCAAUAAACAUCUUAGACAACCAAUCUCUUGGGCUAAGCAUGUAAAUCUCUGGCACUAGUUGGUUCAGACAUUUCAUCAUAUACCUUUCGGGUAUGAAAUGUCUAUGACCUAGUUCCAAUUGAUCAGAGAAGAACUAGCUAAUAAAACUCUAGUCCAGAAGGGAAACAAAACGAAUCUAACAUAAACACUCUAGCAAACUAACAUCCUCCACCUAAUCUAUCCCAUCCUCAAGAACCCUAACACUACUCAGACGCAAAAAUCAUGUUAAACAUCAUCAAACAAGAAUCGUUCAAAACAUGCAUAAUAAUAAGGAUGAUAGGAAGAGUAACAACAAUGAUUUCAGAACUAGUUGCAAAAUCUCAAAUACUCAAAAGAAAUAUGAAUUACAAUUUUCUGGAUUGUUUCGUGGCUAACAACAAAAACCUAAUAUAAAACUCGAUCUCCUGGGCAAUCCAAAUGAAGCCUAUUUAUAACAAUGUUUGNNNNNNNNNNNNNNNNNNNNNNNNNNNNNNNNNNNNNNNNNNNNNNNNNNNNNNNNNNNNNNNNNNNNNNNNNNNNNNNNNNNNNNNNNNNNNNNNNNNNCAUCCUUGCUCCUCACUCGAUCGUCAAUGUAACUGCAACGCAUCCUUGCUCCUCACUCGAUCGUCCCACUCGAUCGUCUGCAUGUCGAGUAACGCUUGUUCCUCUGUUUCGCUCUGCAUGUCUCCUAAGUACCUGAAACACUCCAAAUAUGCACAAUGUAUGCAAGAUAUGCAUGAUAUGCAUAAAACCUACCUAAGUAUNNNNNNNNNNNNNNNNNNNNNNNNNNNNNNNNNNNNNNNNNNNNNNNNNNNNNNNNNNNNNNNNNNNNNNNNNNNNNNNNNNNNNNNNNNNNNNNNNNNNNNNNNNNNNNNNNNNNNNNNNNNNNNNNNNNNNNNNNNNNNNNNNNNNNNNNNNNNNNUGGAAGAGAGGUUUGAAAAUGGGGUCUCAGAACCUGUAACUUGCAAGAUAGAGCAGUUAAAAUCAAUGGCCUGGUUGCUGAGUCUUUGAUGCAUGCUGAGAGAACUUUACUUAACGACUUUAGACAAACUCAUCAAAUCCGAAACUGAUUCUAUCCCUUGAUCUACACAUGCAUUCAAAUCAUUCAUUCCUUUUAACAUUCAUUAUUCAAGUAUAUGAAUCUGGUUGUGCAAGUCUUAACAAACUCACUUGGCUAGGCAGAAAAAGGNNNNNNNNNNNNNNNNNNNNNNNNNNNNNNNNNNNNNNNNNNNNNNNNNNNNNNNNNNNNNNNNNNNNNNNNNNNNNNNNNNNNNNNNNNNNNNNNNNNNNNNNNNNNNNNNNNNNNNNNNNNNNNNNNNNNNNNNNNNNNNNNNNNNNNNNNNNNNNNNNNNNNNNNNNNNNNNNNNNNNNNCCUUCAACAUCAGUCCCAUUUUUGUCUUUUUGCUUUUUGCCUUAGGAGAAGUUUCUUAUCAAUACUAGUGGAUAGGGGAUUUCUUCUUAACUAUGGUUCUGUUUUCUUCUUACGUUAUAAGAUAUCAAAACUUUUUCUCUUUCUUAACAUCCCAGAACCAUUCUCUGUAUAUCAUGCUAACCCCACGAAAAUCAAUCACUAGAUUAUAAACUUAUAGAAAACAUUCUCCUCCUAAGGAUACAACUUUUUCUGUUUCUCUUCUUUCUUUCCACAAUCAUUCCAAUCCCAAACCCAAGUAAGAACCCCGACCUAGUCCUAUCUGAUUUGAAAGUGAAAAUCAGAACUACUCAAGAUUUUAAUCCUGUCGGCUCAUACCUAACACGUUCUCCCCAAGCAUAAUCCGGUAAAAGACCUACCACUCAAAAAUUAUCAAUUGGCUUGAAAGAAAAGGAUAGGCUGCGGGUGNNNNNNNNNNNNNNNNNNNNNNNNNNNNNNNNNNNNNNNNNNNNNNNNNNNNNNNNNNNNNNNNNNNNNNNNNNNNNNNNNNNNNNNNNNNNNNNNNNNNNNNNNNNNNNNNNNNNNNNNNNNNNNNNNNNNNNNNNNNNNNNNNNNNNNNNNNNNNNNNNNNNNNNNNNNNNNNNNNNNNNNNNNNNNNNNNNNNNUCUUCAUGAAUUCCAAGUUUGUUUCAGACUUACUUCAAGUUCAAUCAUCAUGCAUCAAAAAGCUAACAACCAGGGCAUUGAUCUCAACUGGUGAAUCAUAGCAAAUCAACAAGGUGUAACUCAUCAUCGCCCCCUAUGCUAAUGCAACAGUCCUACAUGAAACAAUCUAGACUCAAUCCUAAUAUGCAAAUGCA
rnacentral:lncRNA from 1 species